CUCUCUCUCUCGAAAUGGAGAUGAAGGUGGAGACUCUAGGGAACUGAUUCCCGACGAUGAGCGGCUUUGCUCCGGUGGUAUCAUCGCGGUUCUAUCAUGGUUUUGUGUCGGAUUGUAUGGUUUUUGCGGUGGUUUCGGUUGGUUCAGUUUUUUUAAGGCUCAAUUGGAUCUCGAGUCUCGGAUUAUUAGGUUUUGGUUUGGGGAAAGGAAAAGCUCCUUCAUGUGCUGGAUCGAUUACAAAGAAAAUAUGGCUUUAUUCGGUGAAGUUUCAUCGGAUCUGGAGAGAAGUCGAGGAAGUUCUGGGUUUAGAGUCCAUGGUUUUGAGUUUCGGUGGCUUGAAGGGUUUCGAUCGGGUCGUGUUGACGAUGGUCUGUGAGGUUGCCUCAGUUGGAGUAGGGGUUCUGGUAGUGAAAUCAGGUUCUGGCCGGUUAAAGAUGAUGAAGGAGAGUAAGAUCACAUGGGAUGAGUCUUCUAUGUGGAUGUCGGAUUCGCACACUCAAGUAUUUUAUUAAGUAGGAAAGAUUAUUCUUGAGAGACAAAAAUGAAUAUGUAAAAACUUAUAAAUUGAUACGAAAAUCGCUAUAGUAUUUCUUUCUUGAGAGGAAGCCCCCUUUACAUGGCCAUUGGCCUAUAUAUUUAUACAUAGAGAAACGACAUUAAAAUGAGUAAUUAAGUACAAUUAUUCCUUCUUAAAUGUGUCCGUUUUGAUUCUUUGACUUUAAUGCUCAACGUUUGAAUUUGAGUUGACUCUGAUCUUCAUGGGCCUCGCCCCUUUUGGCCCAAAUGUCCUUGAACCGACUUACCCGCGUCUUCUAUACCGAACUCGUGCCUCAGUGUAGUCACUUCGGAUUCUCGAAAUGGUGACAACCACUUCGACCAUCCCUUCGGCUCACGGGUCCAAUGGGCUUCAUCCUUUAUGGGCCAUUAUCUUGAUUACGUGGCAAUCUUUGGUAGGUCUCGUACUUCUGGUGCGGGAUCCGACACCAACAAUUAGCCCCCCAAGUUCUUCGAAGUGCUAUUCCAAUUCGGAGGACUUUAAAUGCUCAAGUGGCCAAAGAUUGCGCUCGAGAAUCUUUCUGAUUUCCCGCCGAAAAUCUCAUCAUUCCUUUAAUUUCGGCGCUAGCCAUUUUUAACCAAAUGACAUCUGUCAUCAUUAUGACCGUAUAUUGAUUAAUUACUAUUAAAAUGGGAAAAAACCUUCCCACUUCGCACACGACUUCCGAGACGGUUUCAUCAUUAGCCUGAGGUAACUUCUUUUCACCAUUACUCUCUUCUUUUACUUUUGUAUUUUAAUCAAAACCUCUCUCUUUGUUCCUUCACCAAAAUCUUUCUUCGCCGGAUCUUGAAUUUUUCUUUCUUCCCAAUGACUUCCGAUUCCGAUAGACCCGAGUCUCCGUCUUUUGAUGAGAGGCGUUCUAACAAUGACGAGUGCACCCGCUCUAAUGAUAUUCCCGGUCCGCACUAUAGGUCCACUUGUACUCUUCAAUCCCUCGAGCGGUUGAAAGAGCUUUGCCGGAUUCCAUCGGAAAUUAUGGCGGAAGCACAAAUAGCUUCCCCCACGGAAUCCCCGGAGAACCAUCGCGAUGGUUACUUCUGUGUGUACGAGAUUUAUUUCAAGGGUUGCGGGCUGACCUUUCCUCUUCCCGAAGCCCUAGUUUUAUACCUAGCGGCUCUUGAAAUUGCUCUUCCUCAAUUAACCCCCAAUCUUCUCCGUACUAUUCUUGGAAUUAUAACAAUCGCGGCGGAGGCUGGUUACGUUAUCGGAGUUGCUGAACUAAAUGAGCUUCUGAGCGUGAGAAGUUCAUCGAAGAAAACGGGGUAUUUCUCAGCAUAUCCUAAUGCCAACAGGAACAUCAUUUCACAUCUUCCGAACAAGGAUGAAAAUUGGCAUCAUCCUUGGUUUCUAAUUAAGAAAACUCCCGCUUCGAUUGGAAAUCUCGCAGAUUUUCUCCCUUCGAAGUGGUCUGCGAAACCCGGUAGUGAUUAGGUUGCCCGUAUCUUUCCCGGUUAUUUCUUUAUCUUUAUUGACUAACACCGUUGUUUCAUUUCGCAGCUUUCAUCGCUUCCAAUCUCCCAUCUGAAGAGUUUAUCGAAUUCUUCAAAAUAAUUCUUGAAGGGGAAACCCUUUGGAAUUCCUUCACUCUUGAACGAUUCCUAGAAGCUAACCACAGACUCAGGAUGAGUCCGCCUGGUCAUCUUCACCAAAUUCCUCCCCCUCCCUCAACUCAGGGAAUGUCAUCUCGGGCCCUUGCGGCCAAGCGUAAGUUGCUUUCCAAGCCGAUGGCUGAGGUUUGCGAGGAGAAGAAAAAGUUUCUCGCGACUUCUAUAGACAAGAAGGACUACAGUAGAACCUUGCUGGUUGAUGAUGGCAGCACCGAGGGAGCUCGAUCUGUCGCUUCCUUCAGAUUAACUCCUCGUCGCGAUCGUCGCGACUCACGUUCUCCUCGGAGGAAUCAAUCUCCUCGCCGUGAUUCACCUUGUCCUCCCCGAGAUGAUUUUAGUAACGAACCAAUUAAGAACUUGGUUCGCCGGAAGAGAGACAAGUCCUCUCGCAGCGAUUCUUCUCCGCGGAGGGAAAAGUCGAGGGCCCGGACUGACCGCUCACCUCGAUCAUCCCCUCCUCCUGAACCAAUGGGUCCUCCACGACCGGUUGAUAUGUCUUCCUCCUCCCAGCCUGAUAGUGGAAAGACUGCCCGGAGUGCCUCUCCGAAAAAGGGAGAUUCAUAAUCUCGAGAUACUUCCUCGAGGUUAAAACCUGCUCUUGUCCCUCAAGUCAAAUAGCUUUCAGGUUUGGUGAUUCAUACAGUAUUCAACGUUUUUUUUUUUAUAUUUCCAUUAAGAUUCCGAUUUUUACAACUCUUCUUUCUUCGCAGCUAUGGAGAAAGAGGGUAGCGUCUUCCGAUGCUUCAAGACCCGAUCGGGUUCGAUCUUGCCAGAUUUCGACAAAUGGCGCCCUGCGAUUCGUGAACGCUAUUUGCUUCACGCGCAUCACUCAUCUCGGGUUAGUUCCGUUUUUUUUUUUUUUUUUGCAUUGCCAUUCUGCGAACUGACUCACCAUCCCUGGUUCAUGUGUAAUGCCAGGCUCAUAGCGAAUUUAACGACAUGAUCGAACAUUACGAAGGGUUGGUCAUUGGUCGGGAGAAGGAGAUUGACAUGUGGAAGAAGAAAUUCUCAGCUCUUGAGGCUGACCUCAACUCUUCUGCUGGCUCUAAGCACGAUCUGGAGGAUAAGGUCGAUAGGUUGACGUCGGAGCUGGCGCAGGUAAAGGGGGAACUGCAAGACUACUAUGACCGGAAUUACAAACUCCAGGACGAACUGUCUGGUGUUCAGGGUAGACUUCAUGAAUCCGAAUCAACCGCCGACACCCUGAACAACCAACUUAUUGAGCUUGACGCGAAGUACAAGGCGCUAGCCAAGUUGCGUGAUUCUGAGUUGGCAAGGUCGGCAUCGAAGGCCAGAAAGGAGGUUAAGGGACGCGGGAUGGAAUUGAUCCAAGGGGCCAUUCGCUUCAUGCAAACCGAGAAAGCUAGGUCGGACUUGGAGUCAGACAUCAAGGAGCACGAAAGCAACCUGAUUCUCCUGGACCAAAUCCAUGAAGCAGAUUUCUCCGAGGAGCAAGAAAGGACCGAGCUGUCGACUAACCUUUCUGAAAAACGGAGUCGCUUGGCAGCUCUUCCCACUUCGGCCUUCAACCCGCUUGACUUCGAGGCAUUCUUUACUGAAUCACCUCCUAUAAGUGAAUCGGGUUUAGACUGGGCAGGUAACGCUUGCCUCCUGUGGCUUACCUUUUUCUUACCUUGUACCUUUGAUUGACUGGAAUUAUUAUUUCUAGGUUCAAGUGAGACGGAAGACGUUGUCCCGCCCGCAGCUCCUAUGGUACCAGAGGUCACUCCGGAGGUUGGUUAUACCGCGGAGGGUGGUCAGGGAGCUUCAUCUGAUCAAGCACCAGUCAAGGAGGUGAAUGAAACUUUGGUUGCUGAGCCGGAGUCCGGGGUGGAGAUCACUCCGUAGUGGCUGCGUCCACUUUAAAUUGGGGAUUGUCCCUUUAACUUUAAGACUUAAUUUAUUUUUGGCCUAAGGAGGCUUUAUUGUUUCUUUUGAACAAGAUAUUUGCCUGAGGAGGCUUUUAAACCUUUCUAGGUUGUGACCCAAGGGGGUUUGGUUAAAAUUAUAUGCGGGUUUGCAAAGUCCGCUUUUAACCUUCUGUGGCCUUGUGGCAAUGCUUUCGAGAUUUUUAGGCUGAUCAGACUUUUUUCUUUAAAAUGCGAGAGCUGAGCUCGGCUUAAAGCGAGUUCCCCACUUCGGGUUUAGUCAACUCGGUAAACUUGCUGGGCUUGGGCCUUAGAAACUUUUGUUGUUAAUGCGAUGGUUGCUCUUUCCCUUCUUAAAGAAAACGGCUCGUCUUUUAAUGCAAUAAUUGCCUUUUCUCGAUUUUCCAAAAUGGUUUAACCCACUCGGAAACGCUACCAUUAAUGGAUUUAUGGUUCCAAGACAAACCCUAAAUCAUUAUAAAUAAAGGCUUACCUACCUCUAGGCUUUAUUAAACAUGACUCUAGAAUCUUACUUGAGAAAUAUUUUAAGAAUGGAAAACGAAACAGUAGCCCCCGUUGAUCCCGGCAGUCCACUCUUCUUAUCCGGCGACGGCUUUGAACCGGCCAGCGUUCUCUUCCCUCACGCCGUCUUUCACUUUCCUCCGAAGGAGAAGAAAGAGGCUUGCGAUUUUAUUGACAAGGUAAAUAUUAAAGUUUUUGAUUUAAAACUUCUUGUUUUGUCUUAUUCACUCAUUUUUAUGCUAGGUCGCCGACAAGCACCGUCGCUUGUGUGAAGAGAGGCAGCGGCUGGGACUCAAAAGGCAGACGCUCGAGGCUCGCAUCGCUCGGGCGGAAAGGAAGAUACGGGCUUUGGAGAGUGAUCCCUUUCAAUGGGAGUGGCGGAACUUCGAUUCCGUUGCUGAGAUCCCGAAGAUGCUUCGGAUGUAUCUCCGUGCUAGAGGAGUCCCGGGUCCCGUGAACGCCCCUGUCUUCGCCGUUCCAUCCGACAGUGAAGAGGAAGAGGACUUGGAGGAGGAGGCCAGCAACUGCCGGAGACGCGUUCGGGAUCGUUCCGAAGUGGAUGCCAAAAACAAGGCGUCCACUUCGAAGACUAAACCGGCGAUGAAGGAGCCUGUUCCUGAGCCUCUCCCAUAAAUGUUCUUUAAUUUCUUCACUUCUUUUCUUUUUUUUUUUUAAAACUCGUAAUGGGCUUCGGCCCCUUUUUAUUUAUGGAAAUAUUUGCUACUUUCCUUUCUUUCCAAAUAUUCUUGGAGAUGCGUCUUUUAAUGCAGGAUCUAUUCGAGGGCAUAAAUCUCUCCGCGAAUCAUUCCAUUCCUUGGAUAGAAUCCGCAGCUUGCUAGGGAUAUGGGGUUCCUAUAAAUUAUAGGUUCAAUUCCCCUUUACUCCUCACCACUCUCUCUUUUUUUUAUUUUAGUAGGUAUGAAGUUCAAUCUACGAUGUUCAGAAUCUAUGCCCGACUUCUCCAGAAUCGGAAUGAUGAAUGAAGAUGUUCCAAAUGAGCCCAACAAGCAGCCUCCUCCACUUCGCGGCUUCUUGAGAUCUCAAAUCCGAGCCCCAUGUGCUUUGAUCAGGGAUCUCCCAAUCAGAGACCAAGGAACGGCGACGGCGUUCAUAGAGGCGCUCGAGCUUCAACACCGGAAGCUUACGUCGGAAAAGAGGAGACUUCGGAAGAGGAUUAACCGGAUGCAACGCAGGCUUACUACAGUGUCAAGAAGUCUUCACAUCCUUGAAUCUCACCCCGGAGAGUGGAUUGAGCUUGGAAUUUCUGACUUUGCUCGAAUUCCGGACUGCAUGAUGCCGAUCCUCGAUCUUGCUGGUCAAGGAGUUGAAGUGUUCUGCUCAUCAACAAGAUUUCCAUAAUCCGAAGUGUACGAUGAAGGACAUUCCGCUCUAUUUCCAAUCUUUUGUAUGUUCGCUUUAGCCGAACCUUCUAUUUGCUUCACUUGUUCGCACAGUCGAAACUUUUUCCUUUAAUAAAGAAAUAAAAAAAAUUUUAUUAAUAGCUGAACUCGUUUUCGAGCUGCCUACGUACCCAUCUCGGGAUCAAGCCACACCGUAGUUCAUGAACAAUGCAUGUAGCUUUAAACAUAAAAUUUCUUUAGGUUGAUCAUAUUCCAAGGUCGCUUGACUGGAUUGUCUCCUAAAUCUUUCAACCUGUAAACACCGUUUCGAACCACCUCGGUAAUAAUGUAAGGUCCUUCCCAAUUAAUUCCGAGUUUACCGGCACCUUCUUCUUUUCUGUUGUCAAAGACGCGCCUUAAUACAUAAUCUCCCACGAAGAACGGCCUACUUUUAACCUUAGAAUUGUAAUACCGGGCUGCUGCCUGUUGGUAAUUCUGGAUCCGAAUUAGAGCUUGAUCACGCCUUUCAUUUAUGGUAUCUAGUGAAUCAUUAAGCAUUGCUGAAUUUUCUUCCUCAUUUAAUGGUGCUUCUGUUCGGCGAAGUCCGGGCACAUUGAGUUCAGCUGGUACUACCGCCUCCAUGCCGUAAACCAAAGAGAAUGGGGUUUCUCCUGUAGGUCGCCUAGGGGUUGUACGAUAAGCCCAUAGGACGGGCUGGAGUUCUUCAUACCAUCCUCCCUUCAGAUGACUUAAGCGUUUCUUGAGGUUGCUUAAUAUUGUCUUGUUCGCGGCUUCAGCUUGACCGUUUCCUUGCGGAUAUCAUGGAGUAGAAUAACUAACUUUGAUUCCCCAGUCUGCACAAAAGGCAUCAAACUCGUGUGAAAUGAAUUGUGGUCCAUUAUCGGUGACUAUUUCGUACGGAACUCCAUGUCGACAUAUAAUGUUUUUCCAAAUAAAGGUCUUCACCGCCGAAUCCUUGAUACCAACAUACGCCUCAGCUUCAAUCCAUUUUGAAAAGUAGUCCGUAAGGACUAAAAGGUACUGUACACCUCGAGUUGAUUUGUGUAAUGGUCCAAUGAUGUCCAUUGACCACCUCAUGAAUGGGUAUGGGGCGGAAAUGGAGGAGAAUAACUCCGACGGUUGAUGGAUUAAUGGCGCAUGGAGUUGGCAACGCUUGCAUCUUUGGGCGAACUUAACACAAUCUGUGAUCAUAGUGGGCCAAAAAUACCCCAUUCUUUUAACUUUAAAAGCCAUAGCUCUUCCUGAUGAAUGACUCCCACAUAAUCCUUCAUGUACUUCGCUCAUGACGAUUUCGACUUCGGGCCCAAAAAUGCAUAAUAGGUAAGGGUCACUGACACCUCGUCUGUAUAACGCAUCCUUUGAUAGACAAAAUUUCGUGCUAACGACUUUCAUUUUCCUGGCCUGCCAUUUAUUCUUUGGGAGCUCGCCUGUUGUGAUGUAGUGCUUUAUUGGCUCCCUCCAGUCAGCCCCCCAGUCUUUAGCCGGAAUUUGAUCAACUUUUUGGAAUAUUCGUGGUUCUGGUUCGGGAUGCUCGUUUGGUUCAAGAACAUCUUCCUCGAUUAACGGUUCGGUUUCUAAUAUUGUUUCUGGAAUUACAUCCUCAACUAAGACAACGGGUUCUUUGUUAGAUGUAUUUGAUCCUCUCGGCUUCCUCUGUUUGUUGGGUGGUGGUUUGAUCUCUGGUUCGCCACGGUCGUGUGCCGUCGCUCGAGAUCUUGUAAUGACGAGAGUUUCUUUGUUGUCUUGAAUGCUUCGCUCCGAAAUGCAUUCCACUGGAAUAACUCUUUUCAACUCAGGAUCUGAUGUUGACGCCAAUGCGGCGAGCGCGUCCGCAGUUGUAUUCUCUCCUCGAGGUAUGCGGAUUAAUUCAAAUUUCGAGAAAUUUUUAGAUAAAUCCUUUACCACUUCGAGGUACGCCUCCAUUCUCGAAUCAUUGGUUUCAUAGUCUCCAUUAAAUUGGUUAACUACUAAUUGCGAAUCACAAUAAGCCAAUACUUCCUUAGCUCCAACUCCUUGUGCUAAUCGAAAUCCGGCAAUCAGGGCUUCGUAUUCUGCCUCGUUGUUGGAGGCAUUGAAUAGCAACCAGAAUGAUUGUUCUAGAAUUUCUGACGUUGGAGACUCCAACUUGAUUCCCACUCCGGAUCCUUGUUUUGUUGAAUACCCAUCUACGUGUAAUUUCCAAGUUUGGUUCUUCGAUUGUUCUAUCGUUCCAGGUAUUGGUAGUUCGGUCAGGAAAUCUGCUAAGACCUGAGCCUUCAUACUGAUCCGGCUUUUGAACUCUAUGUCGUACUCGCUUAAUUCCACCCCCCAUUUCGCCAAUCGUCCGGACUGACUUGGACUAUGAAGUAUUGUUCGGAGUGGCUGGUUGGUUAAUACUUCAACCGGAUGGGAUUGAAAGUACGGGCGUAGCUUUCGAGCCGAUAUCACCACCGCGAGUGAGAGUUUUUCCAUCAUUGUGUAUCUGGUUUCCGGAUCCGUCAUUGACUUGCUCACGUAGUAAAUUGGCUUCUGCUCUCCACGGUCUUCCCGAACCAAGACUCCACUAACCGCGUGGUUUGAAACUGAUAUGUACAAAUAAAGUUUUUCGUCCACUUCCGGUUUGGACAGUAUAGGCGGAGUGGUUAAGUAUGCCUUAAGCCGCCCAAAAGCUUCUUCACACUUCUCAUCCCAAAGGAAUCCUUUGUUCCCUUUUAGAAUUUGGUAGAAAGGCAACGACUUAUCUGUUGACCUCGAGAUAAAACGAUUCAAAGCCGCAAUCCGCCCAGUCAACCGUUGUACUUCUUUGAAGUUUCUUGGAGAUGGCAUGUUUAGAAAGGCGUUAAUUUGAUUUGGAUUGGCUUCAAUCCCUCUUUCUGUCACGAUAUAGCCAAGAAAUUCUCCGGAUGGGACUCCAAAUGUGCACUUCGCCGGGUUCAACUGCAUUUGAUAUUUAUUGAGAAUAUCAAAACAUUCCUCCAAAUGCUUAACAUGAUCUUCUUUCUUCAACGAUUUAACCAACAUAUCAUCUAUGUAGACUUCCAUAGUCUUCCCGAGGUGAUUGUGAAACAUUUUGUUCACCAACCGUUGGUAAGUUGCUCCUGCAUUUUUCAAACCAAAAGGCAUUACCUUGUAACAGUAGAUACCUCUAUCUGUGAUAAAUGACGUCUUUUCUUGAUCUUCGGGGUUCAUCAUUAUCUGAUUAUAACCCGAGAAGGCGUCCAUGAACGUUAACAGUUCAUUUCCAGCGGUGGACUCCACAAGUCGAUCUAUAUGUGGGAGCGGGAAACUAUCUUUGGGACAUGCUUUAUUCGAGUCUGUAAAAUCGAUGCAAACCCUAUCUUUCCCAUUCUUUUUCUUGACAACGACAGUGUUUGCUACCCAUUCCGGAUAUUGCACUUCUCGUAUGGACCCUAUUUUCAAAAGUUUAUCCACUUCAUCAUUUACUAUUUUUGCCCGCUCCACUCCAAGCUUUCUUCUUUUUUGUUUCACCGGUUUGAAGCUUGGAUCCACGUUUAGCUCAUGACAAAUUACACUCGGACUUAUGCCAGGCAUGUCCGCUGCUGACCAUGCAAAUGAUGCUUUGUUUCUCCUUAAGAGUUCGAUCAAAGCUUCUUUUAUUUGGCCAGUCAAAGUCGCUCCAAUUCGAAUUUUCCGAUCUGGUUUGUCUUCUUCCAAUACCACUUCGACUACCACAUCCUCUUUUUCCUGCCCACUAGGAAAUUUCUGCUUUAGUCCUUCUUUUGCGGGCUUUGUUAAUUGCUAUUGGAUCUUCAAACGGUGGCUAGCUAAAUAACACGUCCGUGAAGCUUCUUGAUCUCCCCGAAUCGUUUCCACCCCAUUUGAUGUUGGAAAUUUGAUACAUUGAUGGUAUGUAGAGGGGACUGCUUUCAUUCGAUAAAUCCAGGGAGUCCCGAGGAUGAUGUUGUAAGCUGCGGGGUUAUCGAAGACAACGAAGUCCACGAUCUUCGAUACCUUCUUGGCAAGGACUGGUAGCUUGAUUGUUCCGAGAGACAUGGCUGACUCGCUUGUGAACGCAACUAACGGAGAUGGGGGUCCUACUAUGUCUCCUCGGCUGAUUCCCAUUUUUUCUAGAGUACUUAAAAAGAUCAAGUCGACCGAAGUGGAUCCUUGAUACUUCGAAGUUAGCGACAUCAAGAGUAAUGACUAGAGCAUCAUCAUGCGGUCUUUCGAGAUGCCGCGUUUUUUCUUCGUUAAAUGAUAUUGAGGCACCUUGAAAAUCAAUUUCUUCGCUCAAGCUUGCCUUGAGUAAGACAUUUCGUCUAUGCUUUUUGAUGGAACUUAUUGAAUCUCCGCAAAAUCUGGAACCUCCUAGAAUCACAUUGAUCUUACCCUUAGAACUCCUUGGUUCUUCCUUGUUGGAUAAUCUUGGUCUUUUGGAAUCUUGAUCUUUGGAGUUUUCCUUUGCUUCGUGGUAUUCCUUCACAAAAUCUUUUAUAUCAAAUUUAGAAAGAUCGCCACUAGCCCAAAGCUCUGCGAGGUGCUUUUUAAGAACGCUGCAAUCCUUGGUUAAAUGUCCGGUUAUUUUAUGAAUGUCGCAAUAUAGACUUUCAUCACGGACCCAAGUGUGUGAUCUUCCUUUCCCUUGGAAUUGCUUCCCGACGGUAUUGUUGAAGGGUUGCGACCCAAACUUCUUUGGUCCUUUGCUCUCCCUAGGCUCGAACUUCCUGGCAGGGACGGUGAUUGCUGGCUUUUCUUGCUUAUUUCUUUUGGCAAAACUUUCUUUUUCGUCCUCUACCUCCAUCCAGUUGUUCGCGCGAAAGAGUGCAUCCUGAAUUGUGUCUGGUUUAUGAAGUAUUAAGUCUUCUUUAAAUCUUGAAUCAUGUCGCAAUCCUUUUCGUAGGGCAGAUAAAGCUGACUGCUGCGAGAUUCCUGGGAGCUUUGACAGCACUCCUUUGAAUUUGGUGAUGAAAACUCGAAGUGACUCAUUAGAUCCUUGCGAUAAGUUCCAAAGAUCGGCAUCUGAAACGCUUUUAUCCAUAAGGAUAGAGUAUUGCUUUAAGAAUACGGCUGAUAGUUCGUCGAAAUUACUGAUCGAACCCGGCUCUAAUUGGGUGAACCACAUUAGAGCUUGGCCACAUAGAUUCUCCGAAAACAGCUUGCAGUAGCCUGCGUCCUCAUCAGCUUCAUCCAAUUCGACUCUUCCAGCAGCGAUCAGAAAAGCUGCGAGAUAGCUUUUUGGAUCCUCCAAUCCGCUGUAAGGAUCCAAUUUGAGUUUCCGGGAAUCUUUGAUCCUCAAACUCGCAAUUCGCGAGAUGAAAGGUGUUCGCCUAGCUUCUUCAAUGACUCGAUUGAUGUCUGGCUCCGAACUUGUAGCUUGAUGAAAUUUUGAUUUCAUUUCUUUUAAUUCCUGGCUAACCUUCCUCAUGGUCUCGAACUGGUCGAGGUUCUCCUGCUCGUACUGAUCUGCAAGUUGUUCUUCAUCCCCGAGCUGCGUCUCUUCUUCCAACGUCUGAGCUACAUUAUUAGUAGCACUGGGAGUUGUUUGUCCGCUGGUUUCAUUUCGUGCAGCGGAACUUGGCGAGUUGAAUAUCCCUCUUCGGAUUCCCACCGGGUUUCUUGCACUUAAAGAGCGAACACGAGUUUGUAUAGUAUUGACGUUUUGACUAAGAGAUACCUGGGAUGUUUGCAACGUAUCGACGGCCUUUUCCACAUACGAGAACUUUUGUGAUAUGUCCGACAUGGUUUGCUGCAUAGCUUUGAGGGUUUCGGCCAAUGAUGUCUCAGUGGCGUCUCCUCCGGACAUUGUUGCUUAUCUCGGAAGUGUGAUAAAGAAAAAAUCUGACCACUCAAGAACCAAAUAUCCCCACAGGCGGCGCCAAAAUGUGGAUGUCGGAUUCACACACUCAAGUAUUUUAUAAGUAGGAAAGAUUAUUCUUGAGGGACAAAAAUGAAUAUGUAAAAACUUAUAAAUUGAUACGAAAAUCGCUAUAGUAUUUCUUUCUUGAGAGGAAGCCCUUUUUACAUGGCCAUUGGCCUAUAUAUUUAUACAUAGAGAAACGACAUUAAAAUGAGUAAUUAAGUACAAUUAUUCCUUCUUAAAUGUGUCCGUUUUGAUUCUUUGACUUUAAUGCUCAACGUUUGAAUUUGAGUUGACUCUUAUCUUCAUGGGCCUCGCCCCUUUUGGCCCAAAUGUCCUUGAACCGACUUACCCGCGUCUUCUAUACCGAACUCGUGCCUCAGUGUAGUCACUUCGGAUUCUCGAAAUGGUGACAACCACUUCGACCAUCCCUUCGGCUCACGGGUCCAAUGGGCUUCAUCCUUUAUGGGCCAUUAUCUUGAUUACGUGGCAAUCUUUGGUAGGUCUCGUACUUCUGGUGCGGGAUCCGACACCAACAUUCUAGAGGAUUUACGGAUAAUGGGGAUGAGAUGUGUUGUAAUACACUCCGUUGGGACUUUGUGGGCGAUUGGCUCUGCUCAGAAAGUCUGACUAUUGAUCGACGUCGACUGAUUUUAGAGGGUCUAGUUUUGAUUCCCAAGGAGAGUCACAUUGGAGUUUCCUAUGGUGCAAAUAUCGGAGUACAUGCUGAUUAUCAGUGGUCGGAGGCGGUUUUCCGAUGGGUAAGGGUAUAUGGAGGCUGUUUCACUAAUGGGUCUAAGGAGAAAUUGGUAAACAGGAUGUGUUUAAGGAAAGAAGGGCGUAUCUUCUGGUGGUGGCAAGGAAAAGAGCUGAGCCUCUUAAUGGUGGCGUUAAUAUGGUUCUUGAAAAUAUUUUUGUUCCCUUGUUUAGAGGGAGUUAAAGGUAUUGCUUUUUGUCAAAAGUGGAUUGCGGGAAAGUGUAGAUUUGAUUUAGGUCACUGGAGUUUCUGCGUGAUUGCAGGGGAAAGUUUUUUAAGGAAAAGGUUUCUAUCUCUCUUUUAUUCACAAAGAUCUGACGGGUCUGAUAAGGCAUUUUCACUUUUUUGGCAAUUUUGGACAUUAAAAUGGCUGCAGAUUUGGGAAGCUUUGGCCUUGAGGAGAGCUGAUCUGUGGUUUAAUGAGGAUCGAAUAGAAUUUCUUUUUUUUGGCAAGUAUUGGUGUUAUAAGAAGAAACGAGAGACAAUACCUCAUAAGCAUCUCUCUCAUCAGUUGUUCCCUUCUUUUUCACGGUCUUUGCUCUGUGUGUUCUUGUUCUUUUCUUUAAAGAGUGAGUCUGUUCUUUGGGUGCGGGUUUUAAGCAUGUCUCAGAGUGGUUUUUUGGGUAAGAGUAUCGCAGGGUCAACGGUUAAUGGUAAGGCUCCAAAGAGGAGGAUUAAGCUCUCCCCCCUUGAUAACUCUGCUCUGAUAGCGGGAUACUCAAAAACGCUUAUUGGCCGGUGCAUGAAUCCAAGCAAGCAGGAGAUGAAGACUUUGCUGUUUAUGCUACCGCGAAUUUGGCAGCUUGAAGGAAGAGUAGCGGGGGCAGAUUUGGGUCUUGGCCGGUUCCAGUUUGAUUUUGAGACUGAGGAGGAUAUUGCGGAGGUGAUGAAGAUGGAGCCGCUGCAUUUUGAUCACUGGAUGGUCUCACUAGUGAGAUGGGCGCCCUCGGUGGAUCCUAACUAUCCCUCUGCAAUAACAUUCUGGAUUCGAGUCCUCGGCGUUCCAAUUGAAUACUGGGCUGACCAAACGUUUCGGGAGAUCGGAGAAGACUUGGGAAAGGUGGAAGCAGUUGAUAUUGUUGGUGGGCGGGUUCAAGUGACGAUUGAUGGUUUCAAACCUCUUUGUUUCGAAACAGAGAUCGAGUUCGGCAAUGGGGAAGAGACUGUCAUGUUCUUUCAAUACGAAAGGUUGUUCGGUUUCUGUGAACUGUGUUUCAGCUUAUGUCAUGAUAAGUCGGUAUGUGCUCUUAAUCCGGUAUCAGGUUCAGAGAAACAACUUAUCGCAAAUGAAGUGAUUGUGGGCAGCCAUGUUCAUAGCUACAAAGGCGCAGUUUCGCAGGGUGCAAGACAGGAAUCAAAUCAAAGGAAUACGAGUACACAUGGGUAUAAAGGUAAGUCUGUUGUGGAAGCUGGAGGUGAUGUUCGAAGCCAGAGUUUGUCGGGUAUUAACAAGGGUGGUUUGGUCCCUCAGCCUCGUCAAUUUGCUAGUUAUGUUCAGUUUAAUGAUUACCGUUUUUCAAAAGCUGGGGGAUAUGGAAGUAAGAGGCAGCAGACUCAGGGGGUUGGAAAGACACGGUCAGAGUCACAGGGACAAUCAUCCAAAGCUGCUGUGAAUUUUCAACCGAAACAAGUCCGGAAAGCUUUGUUUCUUUUACAGGAAACACAAGGUGAUGAUGCUGCGGAGACAUCUAUGGAAGUCGGGCUGGAGAAAGACUCAGGAGAGGGUAUGGAGACUGGUUUGGAUGGUUUGGAUCCUGUAUCUGUGGAGAAUAUAGCCGCUGUGACAGAAAAUUCUUUGCUUGGAAAUAUCGGGUCUGGUUUGAAUGAAGACGGUUUUGCCGAGUUUCAGAAGGAGGAAAGCACACUAAUGUCUACCGAUGAGGUUGAAGGGGAUGAUCUCAUGGAUGGUACGGUAUCAGUCUCGGCUUCUUGUCCGCUUGAUCAGACCCAUGAUCACGCAAUGGAGGACAUGAACAGUGAGCAGAUGGGCGAUGAUGAUGAUGUGGAGGAGUCAGAACAAUCUGAUAUGGUGACAACAACAACUGGAGCUACGGUGGCUAGUUCAGAGAGGUCUCAAAAACAGAAAGGUCCACUCUUGCUCAAGGGGGUUAGUUCUAAAAAACGGAUUGUUCAACUGUUAACAUCACCUAGAAAAAGGACAGCUGCAAAGGGAGGGGACCAGGGAAAGGAAGGCAAUAACCCGACGAACCAUGGCACGGUGAAGGGAGUACCGGGUGGAGGAAAACCACCAAAACCGAAGGUUGAUAAAUGAAAGUUUUAAGCUGGAAUUGUCAAGGUCUCGGAAAUAAGGCAACUAUCGGUUAUCUGCGGGAUUUGUGAAAACAACAUCGGCCGGAUUUUUUGUUUCUUUCGGAAACUAAACAAUCCUCUUUAUUUAUGGAAAAAUUUAUUGGUCAUUUUGGUUAUAAAAUUUUAAAAACGGUUGAUCCUAUCGGUUGUAGUGGCGGUCUAGCUCUUUUUUAUAAUAAUGAAUUUAAUGUUUCAAUUAUUUUUCAAAGUAAUCGGUUAAUUGAUAUUGAAGCAAUUUAUAAGGGUAAAACAAUUCAUCUUACCUUUGUUUAUGGAGAUCCGGUUCCUAAAAAUCGAGAACAAGUUUGGGAGCGGUUAACGCGAAUUGGGUUAUCUCGGGAUACUCCCUGGUUUUUAAUAGGUGAUUUUAAUGAACUAACAGGAAAUCAUGAAAAACGAGGUGGUAAAUUAAGACAUGCGUCUUCUUUCAUACCUUUUAAUUCAAUGAUACAAGAUUGCGGUCUCUUGGAAUUUCCUUAUAUUGGAGACUGGCUUUCCUGGCGGGGUUGGCGGGAUAAAAAACCAAUACGGUGUCGUUUAGAUAGGGGUCUAGCCAAUGAAGACUGGCAUGAGUUAUUUUGCAACUCAUUCAUUGAGUAUCUACCAAUGGUAGCUUCAGAUUAUUCACCACUGAUAGCUACGAUUGCGGAUAGGUUACCACGUGGAAAGCGAAGUUUUCGGUUCGACAAGAGAUGGAUUGGAAAGGAAGGGUUAUUAGAAGCAAUCUCAAAUGGGUGGAAUUUGGAUACUGGGGCAGGAGAGGGAAAAUUUGUGGAAAGACUAACAAACUGUAGAAGGGCUAUAUCUCAAUGGCGGAAAGAGUUAAAUCCUUAUGGACGGAAAACAAUUGAGGAACUUAAAUCUGAAUUGGAAGCGGCACAGAGAGAUGAUAUGAGAACAAGGGAGGAAAUUACUGAUUUAACAAUACGGUUAAAAGAGGCGUACAGAGAUGAGGAACAAUAUUGGUAUCAAAAAAGUCGGAGUCUUUGGAUGACAUUAGGGGAUAAUAAUUCCAAAUAUUUCCACGCUCUUACUAAACAGAGACGUGCCAGGAACAGAAUCACUGGGUUACAUGAUGAAAAUGGGACAUGGCAUGCUGAGGAUAAAGAUAUUCAGCACAUAGCAGUCUCAUAUUUUGAGGAUUUGUUCGCCACAUCUAAUCCUCGGGCCUUUGAAGAAUCACUGGCAGAGGUUAAAACACUGAUAACGGAUCAGAUCAAUGACUUCUUAACGGCGCCUGCGAUCGAAAAUGAGGUGAGAGCGGCUUUGUUUAUGAUGCAUCCGGAAAAAGCACCGGGACCAGAUGGUAUGACAGCUUUGUUUUUUCAGAAAGCUUGGGCUACCAUAAAAAAAGAUUUGGUACUCCUUGUAAACUCUUUUUUACAAGAUGGAGUUUUUGAUAAACGGCUAAAUACGACUAACAUAUGCCUUAUCCCAAAAACGGAGCGACCGACACGGAUGACGGAAUUACGGCCUAUAAGUCUUUGCAAUGUUGGUUAUAAAGUUAUUUCAAAGAUUCUGUGUCAAAGACUUAAGACGGUUCUACCAAAUCUAAUUUCUGAAACACAAUCGGCUUUUGUUGAAGGCCGCCUAAUCUCGGAUAAUAUUCUUAUCGCGCAAGAGAUGUUCCAUGGUUUAAGAACAAAUCCGUCUUGUAAAGGCAAAUUUAUGGCUAUUAAAACAGAUAUGAGUAAAGCAUAUGAUCGGGUGGAAUGGAAAUUUAUCGAAGAAUUAUUACGAAAAAUGGGUUUCUGUGAGAAAUGGAUAUCUUGGAUAAUGUUGUGUGUAACAACGGUCCAAUAUAAGGUUCUUAUUAACGGCCAGCCUAGAGGACUAAUAUUACCAGAAAGGGGUCUAAGACAAGGGGAUCCUUUAUCCCCCUAUUUAUUUAUCCUUUGCACGGAAGUGCUAAUUGCGAAUAUAAGAAAAGCGGAAAACGAGAAGUUGAUUACGGGCAUAAAAGUAGCAACAGCAAGUCCUCCGGUUUCUCAUCUGUUAUUUGCGGAUGAUAGUUUGUUCUUUUGUAAAGCCAACAAAGAGCAGUGUGCGGUAAUUUUAAGGAUCCUAAAGCAAUACGAAGCGGUUUCGGGACAACAGAUUAACUUCACAAAAUCAUCAAUUCAGUUUGGUCAUAAAGUGGAAGAAGCAAUCAAGCCGGAAAUAAAAGCAGUGUUGGGAAUUAAUAACCUUGGCGGCAUGGGCUCAUAUUUAGGGUUACCGGAAAGUCUAGGAGGCUCGAAGACAAAAAUAUUUUCGUUUGUUAGAGAUAGGUUACAAACAAGGAUAAAUGGUUGGUCGGCAAAAUUUUUAUCAAAGGGCGGAAAAGAAGUAAUGAUUAAAUCGGUAGCUGCGGCAUUACCAACUUAUGUUAUGUCAUGCUUCAGACUACCGAAAACAAUUACUUCUAAACUUACAAGUGCGGUCGCAAAAUUCUGGUGGAGUUCAAAUAGUGAUUCUAGAGGUAUGCAUUGGAUGGCGUGGAACAAACUAUGUAAUAGUAAGUCGGAAGGUGGACUCGGUUUUCGCAAUGUAGAUGAUUUUAAUUCGGCUCUACUGGCAAAACAAUUAUGGCGGUUGAUUACGGUCCCAGAUUCUCUAUUUGCGAAAGUUUUCAAAGGUCGGUAUUUUCGCAAAUCCAAUCCUCUGGAUAAUAUUAAAUCAUACUCUCCAUCCUAUGGAUGGAGAAGUAUAUGUUCAGCUAGAUCUCUGGUUAAUAAAGGACUUAUUAAAAGAGUCGGAUCGGGGGCUUCCAUCUCAGUUUGGGAAGACCCGUGGAUUCCAGCUCAAUUCCCGAGACCAGCAAGAAGCAACGGUUCUAUUAUUGACCCGUCAUUAAAAGUUAAUAAUCUUGUAGAUACACGGACAAAUUUUUGGAAGAUGGAUCUCUUAAAUGAGCUCUUUAUUCCGGAAGACGUCUCUCUGAUAUGCGCUCUGCAUUUGGGUGCGCCAACAAAGGAGGAUACUCUAGGUUGGCAUUUCACAAAAUCCGGAAAAUAUUCAGUUAAAUCUGGAUAUCAUACGGCCCGGCUAGAAAACCAGGAAAAUAAUUUGUCAUUUAUUGGCCCACAAAUCAAUUUACUAAAAGCACAUACUCGGAAAGUGCAUUGUCCGCCGAAGCUACGGCACUUUUUGUGACAAAUGUUAGCAGGUUGUGUUCCGGUCACAGAAAAUCUGCGGAAAAGAGGGAUAAAUUGUGACAUAGGAUGCGCAAGGUGCGGUGCGGAAGUGGAAACUAUUAAUCAUACAAUUUUUGAAUGCCACCCUACACGGCAAAUUUGGGCACUUUCGCAGAUACCUACGGUUCCAUGAACGUUUCCUUCAGCUUCUAUUUAUGCAAAUUUGGACCACUUAUUUUGGAGAAUACCCUCAGAACUCGAUUCAACAUCAUAUCCUUGGAUAAUUUGGUAUAUCUGGAAAGCACGAAAUGAGAAACUUUUCGAUAAUGUGGAUAAAGAUCCAUGUGAGGUUUUAUGUUUAGCGGAAAAAGAGGCACAAUCGUGGCAGGCAGCUCAAGUCGAGCUACAUGCUGAAAAUCGGGGUUCGUUGGUUCAGGAUACUCGACCUCGAGUAAGGGAUAUUUCUCAGGAUACCUCUUAUUCUGGCCAUCGUUGUUUCAUAGAUGGAUCGUGGAAAAAAAGUGAUAAAUUUUCAGGUACAGGCUGGGUAUGUACCUUAGUUAAUGGAGAGACGCCAACCAUGGGAGCUGCAAACCUGCGUAGAAGUCUCUCUCCCUUACAUACCGAAGUGGAAGCUCUUCUUUGGGCAAUGAAGUGCAUGAUAGGUGCCGAUAACCAAGAUGUGGCUUUUUUCACAGACUGUUCAGACCUGGUGAAGAUGGUGUCUUCUCCAACCGAAUGGCCGGCAUUUUCAGCGUAUUUGGAGGAGUUACAGAGCGACAAAGAGGAAUUCACAAAUUUUUCUUUAUCUUUAAUUUCUCGUAGUGCAAAUGUAAAAGCGGAUAAAUUGGCACGAAAUGUUCGUACCGAACCGCAUCACAUCACGUAUGUAAACAACAUUCCUCAGAAAUGGCUCUUUUGAGUCUUAAUUAAUAGCGGUUGACAAAAAAAAAAAAGUGUUAGACUGAGCUGUAAUUGACCGUUGUGAAGAAACCAAGUUGGUGCGUGACUCUUUGGUUUCCUUUCCGGAGAUGUUACAAAUUUAAUUCGACAAUUAUAAAAAGACAAAACAGGCCGUAUGACACUACGGUUGACCUACCAGUUAUGUGGGUCAAACAUAUUAGUGUGAUUUCUUAAAAUUUUAAUCAAAGUUUUUACUUAAUUUCUCAAUAUUUCCUGUCCAUCACACAUGAAGGCUCAUUGACAGAUCACUGAGCUUAUUUGAAGCGGACCGUUGAAUGUUACCGGACCUUGUAAUCUCCAAAUCCUGUUUGAAUUGAAGUAGAUUUUGUCGAUGUAUACAUAUAUAGGUAUGAAAAUAAAAGACGAGGUUACUAUCUUGUCUAGUCCUAUAGUAGCUAGUAGUCAUAUUCUUUUUAAAUAAUAAGAAUUGAUGAGUGUUUGCAAUAAUAAGAACAAUCUGCUCAAAAGAAAUUUUUGAACUACAAUCACUAUUACUUUGACCGCAAGAAACCUGCAUCGGAAGAUAAAUCAUGGCUUUAUACAAGGCGAGAACGUUUUGUUCUUCAGAGAAAAAGAGAUUGGACAAAUCUUGCAGGUUUCAUAAAUUAUUUUACAAACAGUCACUUGGUUUCGAUCUGUAUGUGUUUUUUUUUUUGUUUUAUCUUUGAAAUUGAUUGUGUAAUAUACCCCCCAUUUAUGGAAAACCUCCACUAUCUUUUAUACAUACUACUAAUAUACUAUAAGAUUUUUAAAAUGUAAAACUACUUAUAACUCAAAACGGUAAAAUACUCAAAGAAACAAAGAAGAGCUCAAUUUUCACAAACAAUUCAGCCUAGGAAAAAGUUUACGUAAUACACAAAUCAGGAAAGAUAAAAUAAAUAAGAGCUCAAUUAUUUCAAAAUGUUAUUUUAUUUUUAUUUCAUUCAUAGGAAGACUAGAUUAUUCUUACUCACUAGUUAACUCCACUAGUUACAUUGCCUUGAGCUAAAUCAUAGCGACCAUCACGGACAAACAGGAUAAGUGUCGAUCCAUCCUGGAUGUGGCAGUCGGAUAUGGUACGAUCAUCCUCGAGCUGUUUGCCGGGAUAGAUGAGCCUCUGGUCAGCGAACAGAAAGUCCUCUUUUUCUUGGAUCUUCUCCUUGAUGCUUUUGAUGGUGUCGAAUACCUUAACCUCUAGGUUCAUGAACGUUUUAAUCAUAUCUCUAAUAUAUAUCUCAUCAGCAUCACUCCAUACUGAUCUUGAAAAUAUUUCACACCUUUUCUGUUUUGAAUAUGCUCGAGAAAAGUCUUUAAGUGAUUGCAUCUCUAUCCCGUCGAGAAUUUGAGAGCAUUUAUAGAUCCUUGGGAGAUUUUAUUUGUUCUAAUUUUCACAAGUUCCCAUAUGAUAAUUCUUUUCCAGUUGUUUGACCCUCUAAUUAAUAAUAGACCGUUGUGAAGAAACCAAGAUAAUUCUUUGGUUUUCUUAUUGGAAAUCUACAGUUCUAUGUAAAAUUUACUUCUGUAACAUUGGUCUUAAAAAAAAAAAAAAAUCCAUUUGUGAUUUAGCAUAUAUUGUUGUUACUGGUCCAAGGCCUUAAUUACAAAAUUCCUCCUUUUGACACUAAAUAAGAUUUUCCUUUUUUGUUGAUAUGCAUGGAUAUUUUUUGUUAAAAACAUUUUUUCCUAGAGCUAAUUUGCCCCUGAAGUCUACAUUCUUUCUCUUUAUUUCUUCUGCUUCUGAUAAUCUCUUUUAAUUUUACUAGACAGAACCAAAUCAAAAUAGUUAGACUGAAACAAAUUUAAAAUUUAAACUUGGGUGUGUUUACUUGGGUAAUUAAGAAUUCUUUUCAAGUUUUAUCAGUGGAAAAGUUGUUGCUAAACUUGAACGGAUCUAUUAUAAUCUAUAGAUACCAGCCAUUACAUGGUCGCCUGGUUACAAUAUUGCAGAAUAAAAAAAAAUUGUACCAUAAGAUUACAGUACUAUUGCAGCAAUCUGUGAUUCUGCUGAUGCACAAUGGCGUCUAACGUAAUUAUGUGUGAAUAGUAACUUAAUAUAAUCCCUUUGGUUUCAAUUCCUUUUUCCAUAUGUGAGAGUCUUUCUACAGAUAGAAAGUGUGGCUUUCGUCCCAAUGUUUACAACAGAAACUACUCUAUUGGAUCGUGGGUUUAAAAGGCCAUUCCAAGAUAUCAAAAACAUAAAAUAUCAGUUCACAUAAUGGAAGGGGUCUUAAACCCAAUCAAGCAUAUAACAAAAGGAGCAAACACAAAAAUAUCCAAUAGAACAGCUAAAAUGGACCAUAAACAAAAGUUUAAAAGCCAAACCACACCGAUAAAUUUCCAAAUGUUACCAAUCAAAACCAAAGCCGCAAAAUGCAAACUAAUAAGGGUAAAAAAAAACAUUAAUUCAACCAACUCUUCCAUCUACUUACCCGAAGAAGAUGUGUUGUCUUGUUUAAACAUCACAUUCGCCGCGUCUGCCACAAAUUCAAUCCUUAUCAUACAAAGCUCCGCUUGCUUAGCCUCCAUCUUCUUCAACGUUAUUUCCAACUCUCGCUUCUUUGGUCCAUCUUUGACCUUAUCCCAGCUUGCAACAUACUCUGCUUCAUCAAUACCCCACAAUUCAGAUUCUCAGCUUUAACGAAAGAGACGAACUCUUGACCAAAAGAUAAGGGUGUGCUCUCUGGCUCUUCAUCUUCUUCAUCCUUGAACCUUCCUUCAAGCUGACCUUGGCGCAUAUUCUUUGAUUUUGAAGGAAAAACACAGUUAAUUCCCCAAAUCUUUCUCGAUAAAUCAUAACAUCUCUGGUCAAAAGCUUUUGAAUAAACAAUCUGUUCUUUAGUCUUUCCUUUUUCAAAAGACUUCACAACUUUGUCAUCAAUUUUUUUCCUCAAGUUCUGAAGUUUGGCUACCAACUGACCUUUAGUUAGAGCCGGCUCUAAGUUUUCGAAGGCCACAAGCAAAUGAAAAAAAUGGGCUGUAGAGAUAUUUAAAUCAGGUAUAUAACUCCGGUCUUGUAACAUAGUUCGUUAUCAAUAUCAGAAGUAGUUACACUAAAACGUUCUGUUUCUAGUGGCCAUAUUGUAUACAACAAUAACGGCACGUACGCAAUGACCACAAUGAUUGGAUUGCUCAACAACUCAAAAUCCUUACGUUUUCACAACAAUCUCUCUCAAAUGGUUAUAUAGUAUAGGUCUCAAUAAGAACAAACGACGACAACAACAACAAAAAAUAAAAAACAAAUGGGCAGUUAGAAGAUUUAUUCUACAACACUAUUUAUUAGAUACAACUUGACCACAAGAAAAAAAAUUCUUAUCAAUCAACCAAUUUUAUUGAAAUAAACUAUUGGAAAAAAAUCAAAUAUAUAUUUAUAAAUGAAAACAGAGCACUUGCUAUUAUAUGAAGAACAAAACAGAUCAUUAUUGUACAAGCACAAAACAGAGCAUUUGCAAUAAUACCAAGAUCCAAGAACACAACAAUAAACAUGGAAAACUCUCGAUCAACGUCAAUCAUCUUCUUUGCUUACACAACAAUCGUAUUGAUCGAUUCCAUCAACUGCAGAGACAACAACAACAACAAUCUGGUAACAAACCAAUCCGCUUUGUUCGUGUUUGGAGAUUCUGUGUUCGAUGCUGGAAACAACAACUACAUCGAUACUCUUCCCAGUUUCCGGUCUAAUUACUGGCCAUACGGCCAAACCACUUUCAAAUUCCCUACUGGAAGAGUCUCCGACGGACGUACAAUUCCUGAUUUUAUUGGUAACAAAAUUACUCUGUUUUGUUUCCCGGCAAAUUUUAACGGCUUUUUUUUAACUAAUCUCCGACGUGACAGCGGAGUACGCAUGGUUACCGUUGAUCCCACCAUAUCUACAACCAAGUAACGGUCAAAAUCAGUUUACCUAUGGAGUUAGUUUUGCUUCCGCCGGUGCCGGAGCUUUAGCCGGCACCUUUCCCGGAAUGGUAAUCAUCAGUUAUUUGUUAUAACUUUCAUAUUUGUAUUUUUGUUAUUAGCUGAAUGGAUGAUAAUUGUUUUGACUUUUUACACUCUUUUUUCCCAUUUUUACCACUCAAGGUGAUAGAUUUGAAAACACAAUUAGACAACUUUAAAAAGGUUGAAGAAUUGUUGAGAUUUAAGUUAGGAGAAGCACAAGGGAAGAGGGUUAUUGCAACAGCAGUUUAUCUGUUUCAUAUCGGAGUCAACGAUUAUCAAUAUCCAUUCUCUACAAACUCUUCCGUUUUCCAAUCCAAUCCUCGAGAGAUAUACGUUGAUUUUGUUGUCAGUAACACGACAGCCGUGAUCAAGGUAAAUCAUAUCAAAAUUGAUGUAUGGAUUCUCUUGUGGACAAGGUUGAUCAGUUAAUGUGAGCUUGUGUUUAUGUUCUUAGGAAGUGUAUAGAAUUGGAGGAAGGAAGUUUGGAUUCUUGAACAUGGGAGCGUAUGAUUGUGCACCAGCCUCAUUGAUUAUAGACCAAACAAAAAUAGGAUCUUGUUUUAAGCCGGUCACCGAGCUGAUCAGUCUGCACAACGAUAAGCUUCGGGAUGGUUUGAGGCGGCUAGAGCGUGAACUAUCGGGAUUCAAAUACGCUCUUCAUGACUAUCACACUUCCUUAUCCGAACGAAUGAACAAUCCUUCGAAAUACGGUAACAUUGCUUAAUAAUUGCAACUGAUGUAACAGAUUCUUUAGUAUAACCUUUUGGAUCGUUUUAUUUGAUAUAUAUAGGGUUUAAGGAGGGGAAGAAGGCAUGUUGUGGAACCGGACCAUUGAGGGGAAUCAAUACAUGUGGAGGCCGAAUGGGAGUAUCUCAAAGUUACGAGUUAUGCGAAAACGUUACAGAUUACUUGUUCUUUGAUCCUUUUCAUUUGACUGAGAAAGCACAUCAACAAAUUGCAGAGCUGAUUUGGAGCGGAUCGACCAACGUCACCGAACCUUAUAAUCUCAAAGCGCUGUUUGAACUUCAUUAAGCUCAAUCACCCAUUGCAUCUUGCUUUUCAUGUUUUUUUUUUUUUUUUGUGUGUUUAAUUUGUCAUAAUGAUUGAUUAAUCUUUGCAAUAAUAAUGAUAAGAAUCGAAUAAGAAAUUGGCCAUAUAUAUAUCAUCUUGCAAUUUUCUUACAUCAUUUUUCCUUGUCAAGCCAGAAAAGUUUCCAAAAUAAUUAAACAGCUACUUAAAAUUCCAAAUUGACAACGCCUAGACAUUAGAAAUUAGUUAAAGAUAAGUUUGCAAAACAAACAAAGACCAUUUUAGGCCAAUUCCCCCACAAACUAUGUUACUUUAUUCCCCCACAAAUUAGCUGACUGCAACAUCAAGGGUUGUGAGUUGUUUUGUGUUAUCAUCCACGUGGCAUCCUAAUCAGCUUACAGUUAACGGAAUAUUAACAGCUUAUAGUUUUUUUUUUUAUAAAUAAAACGAUGUCGUUUUGUGUUAUCAUCCACGUGGCAUCCUAAUCAGCUUACAGUUAACGGAAUAUUAACAGCAUCUAGAAAUUUGUGGGUUUAUGCCGAAUUUGUUUUGUUCGGGUAUGAAAUUCAAAUUUAAUAUGAGUUUACGUAGUUUUAGGCACACAACAAAGUUUCAUGUAUGAAUGCGAUAAAGUAACAUAGUUUGUGGGGGAAUUGGCCGUUUUUCCACCAUUUUAGCAACCGCAUUGUUCCGACAUCAUGACAAUGUUUGCGUCUGUCUUGAUGUUGCAGUCAGCUAUGGUCUGACCGUCUGCGAGCAUCCUGCCUUGAAACAUCAGCCUCUGCUUGUUCACUGGUGGCCCACCGUGAUCAUGGAUCAUGUUCUUGACUUGUUUAAUCGUCUCGGAUCCCUUCACCUCAAGGUCGAAUGUUUUCCCCUUAAGCGUUGAUACAAAAAUCAUCAUGACUUCACCUUGACCCGAACCCGCUGGACCCAGACCCAAAACCAGUUGACGGGUCGGACUCUCCACGGAUCUUGAUGUCGAUUGUCUCGGAGCUAUCCUCAACCUCUAGGUUUAUUAUCUUUCCCUUUACCGUCUUGAUAAGAAUCUUCAUUGCACCACCUAAAGAGGAGUCUGAAAGAAAGAAAACAACCAAAGCAAAAUCAAAAUCUGAAAUCCAAAGCAUUUGAAAUGUGAAAGCACAGGGUUUUAAAAGAGAUAGAUAUAUGGCGACGAUCACAGACAUACACAUACCUAAAGAGAAAUUGGAGACAGCCAAGUCAAGUUUUCUUCUCUGUGUUUCCUUUUAUAACCAUCCAUGUUUUAAUAUUCUAUAGUAUAUUUUUUUACCGUUGUAAAGAAACGGCUAUUUUUCUGUCCUAUUUCGUAUUUUACCAUGUUUCAAAUUUGUUUCCCCGCCGCUGUGAAUAACACGGAUGUAUUACAUACAAAUGUUUUGAUUUGAACUUAUUGACCGUUGUGGAAACGUCUCUUUGAUUUGCUUCUUCGACUUUUUUACAUUUUUACAGUUUUUGUUUAACGACUGUUUGAAAAACAAAUUGGGCCGUUUAAGUGACUUAUUAGUAUUAUUAUGAACCGAAUAUCUUUAAAAGCCCAUUGAUGUUUUUAUUUUUAUGUCUGAGCCUCUGUUCUUUUUUUUUCCUCUUUCGAUUUGGAAGAUUUUUUUCUUUUCUAUUCUUUCAGCAAAUAUUCGUAACUCAAAUUACCUGAACCCUUUUUCUUCUCAUAAAUCAUAUAAUUUUUUUUUUUUACUUUUAAUCAAUGAUCAGUCUUCGUUUCGUAAGUAAAGUUAUCAUUCUAUGUUUUUCUUCUAGAAGAUUACUUGUAAGUCUUUAGAAAUAUAUAUAUAAGAUUGUUACUUUUUUUUUUUUUUUUCUUAUAAAGAUUGUUACUUAUUUGACCCAAAAAAGAUGAUUGUUACUUAUUCCAAAAGAAAUUUUAGUUACUGCUUUAGGGUUUCCUUCUUUACCACACAAAAAAAACUACCCAUUUGGCAAAUAUAAAACUUACAAGUUACCAUAUAACCAAACUUUCUAUUAAUAAUAAUAACUAGAAAUUAACCCGCGGUACACCGCGGGCCUAUAAUUUUACUAAAUAAUAAAAUUAAUUUUUCUUUUUCAGGUUGAGAGCCCGCGGUAUACCGCUGGAAAUAUUAAUUUUACAUGUUGUGACAUUGAUUUUAAUAUUGUAUAUUUUUAGUAGAGAAAAUUGUGUAGUGUAUGAAAAAAUGAUAAAUUGUUUACAAUAAAAAUCUGUCAUAUUAAUUAUGAUUUAGCGGUAAAAUGGAAUUUUGAAAUCUUGGUAAUGAAUGUUUUAGGGGUAAGGAAAAUACUAUGUUUUUAGGAAAACAUAUACUUAGACACGCCGCACGCGUUUGUAUUUAACAGAUAUCAAAACAAAAAAAAAGAAUUAAAAUCGUAAAAACAUUACAUCAUUAAUAGAAAAUAGAGAAUACACAAUGAAAAUAAAAAUUAGAUUGCUCAAAAACUGAAGCAUAGAUGCUGAGAUAUCAAAACAAAAAAAAGAAUUAAAAUCGUAGAAACAUAACAUCAUUAAUAGAAAAUAGAGAAUACACAAUGAAAAAUAAAAAUUAGAUUGCUCAAAAACUGAAGCAUAGAUGCUAAGAGAAGUUUGUGUGGAUGAAUGAAAAAUGAUUUGCCGAAUAGCAGAGCCUAUAUUUAUAAUGUUUAGAAUUAGGUUGCUUUAUUAGGGUUUUAAGAAAAGCAUAUUCUGCAAAAUAUUCUAUAAGUAAUUAGCGUAGAUAUGCUAUAGUUAAUCGCAUCAGAAUAUCUAAACGAAAUUAAUUUUAGUUUCUAUCGUUAAAGAUCUUAACAUAUUUGAUUUGCGCUUUCGCGAUUUUUAUAAUUUUGCAGUAAACCAACUUUAUGACUUUCCAUAGUUCAAGAUCGUAGAGAAUAUUUGAUGGUUAAUAUGAUAAUUAGAAGAUUCUAUAUAUCUUAGCGAAAUUUUUUCCCUAAAUAACGAAGAAGUUACCAUAUACUUCGGAAUUGUAUUUGUUGAUUUAAUAUUCGAUUUUAAAUUGAAUAAUUUACAUAGAAGUUACCAUACAAGUCCGGUAAGGUUUCUUAUUUUUGCUGUCAAAAAUACUCAUAUAUCCGAUUAUCAUUAUUUCUAUCAAAAAUACCCAAUUUAUUAACUACAUUUAUUUUAUAAUAAUUCAAAAUAAUAUAAAUAUAACAUCAAAUAAAAAUAAAAUGAGAAUUAUAUAAUUCUGUUUAAAUUAGGUCGAGAGAUUGUAAAAAAAUUAGCUCAAAUUUGUUAAUUAGCAUUAACUCAUCAUAUUUUAUAUCUUUUUCUGUAAAAAUCGUGAAGAAUAUAUGUCAUAAAAUAAGAGUUUAGAUAUAGAAAUAGUUAAAAAUAUAGAUAUUUUUAGAGUUUAUAAAUUAAUUUCGUUUUGGAUAUUGCCAAAAUUUAAAGAAAGAUCCAAUUGAAUAUUUUUGGUCACAAAAAAAAACCUACCCAUAAAGAUUAAAAUUUAGGAUUAUAGUUAUUUCAAAUUUUAAACUAAUUUAGAUUUUAUAAUUUUCAUAAAUACGAAAAUAAUUUGUUCACCUAUAUCAGAAAAUAUAACUAAAACAAAUUACGUAAUAUUAUAUAAAAAUUUAAAAUAAAUAACUAUUUUCAUUUUAUGGUGUAGACAAAUUAUUAUUAGUAUUUAUGUAAUUUAGUUUCAAAAAUAAUUUAGAAAAAUAACAAACAUUAAAUUUUAUAACAAAACAAAUUAUUUUCGUAAGAAUUUGUCCCCAAAUUAAUAUUUACAAAAUAUUUAUUUUAAUCACAUAUUCUUUCUAUAUAAAAAUAAGUAGUUAGAUAAUUAUGGUUAGAAGUAGUUAAGGUAAAUAACAAAUAUGGUUAGUUUAAAGAUAUCAUAUAUAUAUAUAUAUAUAUAACAAAUAAGAUUAUUUACCAUUAAAAUAGGUAACUUAUUUGUUUUAUUAUACGCAUAUUCUCUUAAAGAAAAUUAAUAAUUAGGUGUGGGGAGAAGUUAAGGAAAUUAACAAAUAUGAAUUAAUAAAGGAAUUAAUUUCGUUUUAAUAUUGCCAUAAAUUUUUUCAGUUUGAAAUUAAUAAAGGCUUCAUUGAUUAGUUUGAAAUUAAGACAACAUCCCUAAAAUUGCUUAUCCAAAAUCCGAAUAGAGUAAAACCGGAUCAAACCCGGAUCCAAAAGACUUUUUGCAAAAAUCCCCUGUAAAAAUGUAUAUGUAGAUACCGGUGGCGAAGUAGAUUCGAAUUUUCGUGUCGCUACGACCAAACGCGAUCCACGGUCAAGUAUGGCGGCAAGACUUCGCUCGUUCGUUCUAUUCUUUACUAUUUAUCACGUCAAAAGUGACACAUGCAGAUCGUUUCUGAUUCUAAAAAAGUAUUAAUUUGAAGUUUUGACUAAUCAUAAAGCUUCUUGGCUUCUAAUUUUAAAACUUUAUUUUCAAACUAUCAACUAAUUAAUGAUAUCUUUCUAGUGCAAAAAUAUGAAGAACAACUCCUUUUCCUUUGACUAUCAUCAUGAGUAUGAGCCCUUUUGUACUAAGUUCUUUGUUGAUUUUCAAGGUUUGUAAGGUAAAGUUUACCGGUUUUGAUUUAAUGUUGUAUCUGUUUAUAUUAAAUCGAAAACUAUGCAUGUACUGAGAAAAAAAUGAGAACACGUGAUUAUAGAUUUGAAAUAUGUAAACAAAAAUCGAUAAAUCUUUGAAAUUUUUCCAUAACACCUUUUGUGUUUUUAUCCUCAUUAAAUUGUAAGAAAAUAAUUAAUUUGAUUGUUCUAAUUCAUCUGAUUGCUACUUCAAAAAGUUUUACUAGUUUAACUUGGGAUAUGGUAUUGUCGCUGUAUUAGACCGAUCACACUUAUGCUACAAUAAUCUCUAUGACUACAAUAUUUCGUUCGGAUAAUAAUAAUCAAUUAGAUUUUUGGAGUUUUCGUAUUAUUAGUCUUGGAUUUAUCUUUUUAACCGUCGGCAUUCUUUCAGGAGCUGUCUGGGCUAAUGAGACAUGGGGUUCAUUCGAUCGUAUCCUCACAUUUCCACAACAAUUUGGAAUUAAUUUUCUGAUUAUUAUUUUCGUAUGACUCGUUUAUUUUCUAGAUUAGAGGGAGUACCUUCUUAUAUAUAUAAAAAAAACAAAUUCAUGUGCAGUUCGAAAAUAUAUGAUUAAAAUAAAUAUGUUUGUUGUCUUUGUCACCUCAUAUAUACUUUUAUCAACAAGAUAAUUUAUCGAUUUUGAUUCAAAGUCGUGCAUAGGAAAAUUAUAUAUGCUUUAGAACAACAACUUGUCCAUGCACAAUUAAGAAUAAGAAAAAGAAAUAAUACUAUAGUAUAUAAAAAAUAAAAAAAAGAAUAAAAAAAUAAAAAUUGUUGGAAGAACUAAUGUUAUGAAUAUAUAUAAGCUAGUGGACAAAACAUUAACGUUAACGAUUAAACAUGGGAAGCUCUCGAUUAGUUUCGAUCAUCUUCUUCGUCUAUACAGUAAUCUUAUCGAUCGGCUCAAUCAACUGCAAAAACAAGAACAAUCUUGUAACAAACCAAGCUGCGUUGUUCGUGUUCGGAGAUUCUCUGUUCGAUGCCGGAAACAACAACUACAUCGAUACCGUCUCAAGUUUCCGGUCUAAUAUAUGGCCGUACGGUCGAACCACUUUCAAAGUUCCCACCGGAAGACUCUCAGACGGACGUUUGAUUCCCGAUUUCAUCGGUAACAUAACAAAACUACUCUGUUUUGUUAGUUUUAUUUCCUAGGAAAGUUUUAACAUUUUUUUGUCUCACUAAUCGCUGACGUGGCAGCGGAGAACGCAUGGUUACCGUUGAUCCCGCCAAAUCUACAACCAAGCAACGGUAACAAUCAAUUUACCUAUGGAGUAAGUUUUGCUUCUGCUGGCGCCGGAGCUUUAGUCGAAAGCUUUCCUGGAAUGGUAAAUAUCAUCAGUUUGAAUUGUUCCAAAUCAAUAUAAAUGUUGAUUUGAUAUUUUGUUCAUGCUACUUUAAGGAAACAAAUUAAUUUUGUUUCCAUGUACCUACAAAAAACUACUAACUCUUGGAAUUCUGGUUUAUUUCGUAUUAUCACUAUGGCUAAACUAAAUAUUUGUGAUAAAAAUAUAUUUGAAACUUUAGAUAAUAUUAAUUUUAAAACAGGAGAAUAUAUUUAGAGAGAGAGAGAGAGAGGGAGUAGAAACAAAAAAAAAAUCUUUAUUCCUUCAAAGUUACCUGACUAUUUGACAAUUUUUCACUUUUUUUUAUAAAUCAUUCAAGGCAAUAAAUUUGGGAACACAGCUAAACAACUUCAAGGAUGUUGAAAAGAGGUUGAGAUCUGAAUUAGGAGAUGCAGAUACCAAAACGGUUUUCUCAAGAGCUGUUUAUCUGUUUCAUAUCGGAGUUAACGACUAUUUUUAUCCUUUCUCUGCAAACUCCUCAACUUUCCAAUCCAAUUCCAAAGAGAAAUUCGUCGAUUUUGUUAUCGGUAACACGACAUCCGUGAUCAAGGUAAAAAUAAAAUGGAAAACUAAUUUCAAAUUAUUAAAUUUUGGUCUAAAAAGAGAUAAAUGUUAUGUUUCUUAGACACUUUAUAAAAUGGGAGGAAGAAAAUUUGGAUUUUUGAACGUGGGACCGUACGAAUGUGCACCAAGUUCAUUGAUAAGAGACCGAACAAAGAUAGGAUCUUGUUUCAAACCUGUCACUGAGCUUAUCGACAUGCACAACAAGAAGUUUCCGGAUGUUUUAAGGCGGCUACAACGCGAAUUGUCCGGAUUUAGAUACGCUCUUCACGACUAUCACUCUUCACUUUCCGAAAGAAUCAAUAAUCCUUCAAAAUAUGGUAACUAAACUUGGUAGUUACAUAUAUGUAAGAGAUCGAUCUAUAGUUUACCUUUAAGAACAUUUUUUGUUGUUGUAUUUGUUAAUUUUGAAGGGUUCAAAGAAGGGAAGAAGGCAUGUUGUGGAAGCGGACCACUGAGAGGAAUCAAUACGUGUGGAAACCGAAGAGGGCCAUCGCAAGGUUACGAGCUAUGCGAAAACGUUACCGAUUAUUUGUUCUUUGAUUCCUCUCAUUUGACGGAAAAGGCUCAUCGACAGAUCGCAGAGCUGAUUUGGGGCGGAUCACCCAAUGUCACUGGACCUUAUAAUCUCAAAGCCUUAUUUGAAUUUAGGCUCACUUAGAAUCGUCUAUAUGUGUGCAUAUGAAAAUAAUUGACGAGGUCACUAUAUAUCUUGUCUAAUCAUGUUAGUCAUGUAAUUUUUGUGUGUUAGGAUAAUAAUAAAAUUGAUUACUUUUUAUUUUUGUGAUACGGAGAACAAUUUUAUGGUGGAAGUAAAUAAUCUUGAUGAAAUACUGAGUUACAAGACAAUUAGAUAGACAACAAGAAACAUGUGCAGAUGUGUGCUAGCAGAAACCUUAUUAGCGCUUAUUUGCGUUGAUCUUUCUUGCACCGGAAGAUUAGCUGCCAGCGCGAGAAAACCCAUUAAUUACUUUUUUUUGUUAAAAGAAAACCGAUUAAAAACCCUACGACGAAUCGACGAUAGUUAAAAAUUAAAAUUACAAUUUAUUGCCAUUCAACUUUAUCAAAGGGAGUGUAUUAAAGAAAGAAUUUGGAGUGAUUUGAGUUUUAAUGAGUUUUGAAAUGAUUUUGGUGAAUUCUGGUGAAUUACGGAAUUUGAUAUCAAAACUCUCCCAAAUCCCACCUAAAACCAUGAGAUUUGGAUAUUUGAAUUUUUAACUAAGAUGUUCUCUGAAAUCCUACCAAAAAUCACUCAAGUCAUUUCAAAUCCACAACUUAAAAUGUUUCCAAUAACAAUGAAUUUGAUUGUAGAUUUUAAAAUCACUAAUCCAAUAACACUUGAUUUUAAAAAGAUUUUUAAAAUUCAUGUUUGAAUAACAUAGAAUUUAUCUUUUUAAUACAAAUCAUUUCAAAUCCUUUAUUGAAUACAACCUCCUAAAACAUUAAUAUAAACAGUUGCUUUUUUCAAUUAUAUAAGUCCGACAAUAAAUGUUACCAUGUCAGACGGAUCUACUAUAUUACUAGUAUAAAUCAUGUGAUGCGAUCCAAAUCGUUUUAGUACUAUUUUAUCAACAUUGAACGUAGAUAUAGAAUAGAUAAAGUCAAGAUCGGUGUGUUGCUUCAAUUAUGGAGAUUUUUAAAUACUAUUUGUAUGUUUUCAUAUUUCCACCUUGGGAUAAGCAAGCGUCAUUUAUUUCUCUUACUUUUUUUUUUAUUUGUCAACAGCAUAAAUUAAAGCUCAAAAGAGUUAUUUUUAGGAAAUAUUAUUUACAUAUGUGAUAUGAAGCGGUUCGGUACGAACUUGUCGAGCUAAUUUAUCCGCUUUUAUUAUUUAUUUCUCUUACUUAAAUACAAGAAAAUUACUUAAUUUAUGACCGGAUGAGAUUUUUUGGUCUUAUUUUAUGUUUCGAUCCACAAAAUCAGAUCAUAAUGCAGACUAUAUAUAUUUACUGUUAUAAAAUACUCCCAACUGGUAAUUAUAUUUUAAUUCUAUAUAUUUAUUUCAGUUGGGAGUAUUAUAUUUCCCAACUAGUGAUAGAUAUCAUAUUCGUUUUAUAAUUAAAAUCAGCUUAUUAUUUAAUUCGGUGUCAUAAAACAUAUCGUCAUAUAUUUUUACAUAAUUUAUACUAUUUAUUAAAUAAUGAAGCUCUCGAAUAGAUUAGAGUGAAUCAAUAGACUAAUGAACUCACGAUUAAUUCCACUGCGUGAUAAAAAUUGCAAAGAUCAAUUUUUUUUUUUGUCAAGUAAGACUUGUAAUUCAUUCAAUCAAACCCAUAGGGGCAAAGUUUACAAGCUCUCCAAGCAUGAAAAAGAGUACAAUAAUCUUCAAAGAAGAUAAGCUAACAACAAAGAAGGAUAGAUAGUUUUGAUAUUCCAUAGAGAAUCGGAGACCGAAGCAAUCAAGCAACAAGCCACAAGCGACUUCAUGGUGUGUCAUAGACACUUCCGCGAACAAUUCACGGAAAUUUGCAAUAGUCACGAUCAAGAGAUCUUGUGACGUUGAGAAAGUGUCCUUUGUCUCUUGGUUCGCCGGCACGAGACGCAAAGAGGACCAUGGGACCAAUGGUAGAAUAUCCUGAAAGAUAUAAAUUUCUUCGGGUACGGGUUUGAGCUCAUAAUUCAGGGGAAACGGAUAUAAAGGGUUGAUGAAGUUUUGGUAACCACCGCUCCUUGGAAACGGGGUCAUAGUGCCAUUCUUCUUCAAACUUUCAGUUUCACGAAUACUAACCUUAAUGAUGUUGAAUUGAACUUGCCUAAUUUUAGUAAACAAAGGAAAGGAGGGGGAAAGAUGGAAGAAGCGUCGGUAACCACCGCUCCUUAGAGACGGGAUCAUAAUGCCGUUCUUCUUCCAUCUUUUACUUUCAAGAGCAUGAUGCGAAGGUUCAUGGUUUAUCUCAAAAAUUCUGAAAUUUUCUUUGUAGUCCAAAGAGCUCCGAGCCUUGUUGAUGAGGGAUUGCUUGAAGUUGGUAAUUAAAUGGGUCAGAGAUAAACAAUUGACGCUUUGGUGACAACAGUCACACCAACGACUUAUUGGAGAUGGGAACAAGGUACCUUUCUUCUUCAAACAAAAGAUUUCAUGAUCGAGGAAACUGGGUGAAUCUAAAGGCAGGGUUCGCAGAUUGUUCUUAAACAUCCAUAACAAAACCGAAACAUUACGCUUCCUUUGACGUCCUCGAUCAAGUGGUGCCGAUAGAUGAUUCAAAAAUUGAUAAAGGAUGGACAAAGAAUAAAUUAGAGCAGACCUGGGCUUUUGCAGAAAAGGGUUUGGAUCACCUCUUUUAAAGUUGGGCUUUCGACACCUUAAUGGGCCAGACAUGAAAAAGUCCACGAGUUGACCUAGUUUCCUUUUGACUGGCAAUUGAAGAUCUUGAGUGCGACGGCCGCUGUACGGAGAUGAGGAGAAAUUUUGCGGGGAAACAUGCAUCUCCGGUGAUGGUAUGGGCAACAUUUGAUGGUUUUGGUCGGGAUUUGAAGCAGUGGAGGGGAACCAGAGGAACAUGGCCGUUCCGGUAGGUGAAAUCAUGUCGCUGAGAAGAAGCUCGCCGUACGCCUUAGCUUGGUGUGAGGUUUCUUUUCGGGUAAACAAGAUCUCAAUUCGAAAAUUUGGUGGUUCUAUCAGGGUUGACUUUCGCAGAGGUGAAGCACGUUGAGGAUGAGAGAUGGGAAUUGCCGGGCACCAUCUUCUUCCUUUAUUGUUGAUUGAAGAUCUCACCAGAUGCAUAUGGGUUGAAAGGGUUAGAGAGGGUUUUAAAAGGGAGAAAAAUUGAACUAAAAGGGAUGAAAAAGCUGUAAAACUAGAACGACGAUGAGCAAAAUGAGCAAGGGAACCGGAAAGAUUCCGACGCCGGUGAGCAAGUUCUCCACCGGCGCCGGAGAGCAUGGUUGGAAAGAGGUCCUCAAUACCCGAAGUUUUUUUGAUCAAUCUUUUAUUAAUAGAGGAAAACUCACUAGGGAAAACGGAAAAACGUUACACAUCAAGAUUCCGAUUUUGAUUCGGUUAUAAUUUAACUCACAAGCCUUGUAGAAACAUGAUUGACCCUAAAGAUUGAUUUAAUAGAGAGACUCAGUAAUACUCGUAACCGCGGCUAGAGGACGAGCUAGAGUCGCUGGCUUGAACAGUGGCUGACGUUGUUGUAGGCACCCAAAACUCACGCAUAGGUUCAUCGACUGGGUAAACAACAAGCUCACGGACGUUCAUUGGUUGGACAACAUUUGUAUCGGCCCCAAAAAGAAGAUGACCAAACAUUUCUUGCGCCUUCUCGGUGUUGUGACGUCCGUCGAAGAAUAGGUAAGACCGUUGGUACUCGCAUAGCCUCGAAUGCACGUUAGGUAAACCGCAACCAUACGCAUCGUGUGUCCCAACUCCGCAGCACGAUGUGUUCGUAACGAAAAACCCUAAGAGUGACAAAUAUUAACGGUUUUGUAUAUAAGUAUUAAUCACAUGGUAUUAGAAGUUAUAAAAUUAAAAUAAAUGAAAUUAACCAACUCACGGAAGUUCUGGUUCCUCUGCGUCCUAGUAAGAAUGGCAUUGUAGAAAUCAAAAACGGUAAAUUGGAAACCAGGAGUUGUUCUAGCCAUUUCGUUCAACAUCGGUCCAAUUUUUUCGUUGUGUUGUUUAGCCAAAUCGUUGAGUUUCUCAUAGCAUUGAUCAAUCCCGGUGUUGUACUCUUGUCUGACGAUGGGUAAGCAACCCAAUGGAGCUAAGGUUUGGAUCACGAAUUUACUCGCUCCUGAUGAAUACAACAAGCUGAUGUCGUUCUUUAACUUGUUGGUCACGGAAGUGACAAAAGCUUGUUGAGCAGAUGCAUCGGCGUUGGGGUUGUUCUUGGUGAAAUUCAAGUAAUCGUUUGCACCAACGUAUAUCAUAAACACUGACUUCUUCAGGAAGUCAUCGUUCCAAUUUGCUGCUUUCAUUUGAUUGAAUUUUCUCACUUGUUGAUUCAGAGUCAACUAAAGAAAAAUAAAAAGACAAAAAACCAAAACUAUGAUAUAGUUUGCAAAUAAAUUAAAGUAAAGAUUAUUGACAUUGACAUUAGGCCAGAUGUCUUUAUGUGAAGUAAAACAAAAAAUUCCCGCUUAGUAUGACCGGGUCAAUAAAAGACAUAUAAUUAAUUUUCUUUCAGUUAGGUGUUAAAUAUAAGAUAUACACUAGUAUAUAUUAUAGGGAAUAAUAAGAACUGAAGUUGACUUACAGAUUCCACCGGAGCUCCGAGUAGAGUAGCAUCGGCGACGGCGAAACUAGCUCCACGUGAGACAUUGACGUUCGGUUGAAGCGCCGGCGGGAUCGCGAUCGGGAUCUUCAUGAAUUUUGCUGCAUUUGUAUUUUAGAAAUAUAUUAGUUUUUUUUCAUAUAAUACAAAUAAUUCUCGUUACUACUACAUCUCCAAAUCUGCCGACGAUUUUUUUUUUUUUUUUUACAUGUGUUUCGAAAAGUGAAUAGCAGCUCAAUUAAUGCACUAACCAUUUUCCAAAACUCAUACUCCCUCCGUUUCGUUUUACUUGUCGUUUUAGAGUUAAAAUUUUGUUUCAUAUUACUUGUCGUUUUAUAUUUACAAUGCAAAUUUAUGGCAAGUUUUCCAGUUUUAACCUUACUUUUUAAGCUUAUUAGUGACAUAUAACAAACAAAAUAAUGUACUCCCUCCGUUUCAUAAUAUAAGUCGUUUUAGCUUUAAACACGCAGAUUAAGAAGAUCUACUUUUAAAAGUUCAGCCAAUCAUAAAAGAGACUGCAUAAUAUAAAUAAUUAUAAAAUAUUAAAGUAAUAUAUAAAGUGCAUAGAAACUUGAAAACGACUUAUAUUAUGAAACAAAAUUUUUUCUCUAAAACGACUUAUAUUAUGAAACGGAGGGAGUAUUAAUUAGGGGUAAAACAAUAAAUUUAAUCAUUUUCUUAAUUUGUGUGAAAUAAUCUAGAACGACAAGUAAUAUGAAACGGAUGGAGUAACUAUUAGCCAAUACUCGUGAUUUGUAACUACUAACGUUUUAAAUGAUAAAAGUAUCAUGUUUUAUGUUUUGGAGAGUUCGAUUUAAUUAGUCUUCGGGUUAUAUUAACAACAAACAAAAAAAGUCGUACCGACGAAGUCCGGAGCGAUGAAGCCGUCGGAGAAUUUGCCGUUGGGAUCAUCUCGGGAUUUUCCAUACGGCCAGAAACCUUGAGCGACUAAGGUUUUGGUGAGAGUCUGUUUGUUUCCGGCAUCGAAGUUGGAGUCACCAAAGGUGAACAAGGCCACCACCGGAACAUUAAUCUGUCCGGAGACGGCGAUGGGGUUGUGAAAGAGAGUCAAUACCAAAAAUACACAUAGAACACUGACUAAAUUACAGUUGUUUGCCAUCGUUUAGUGAAUAGAGAGAGAGAGAGAGAGAUGUAGAACAGUGAAAGAGAAGAUUGCUUCUGUGCCUUAGCUCGUAGACUGAUUCGUUAUAUUUAUAUUGCAAAUACUACAAUUUGGCAAUUGAAAAAAACUUUUAUCAAAAUACUAUUUAAAAAAUAAUAACGUGUCGGGCGAGGUUCAUUUUUUCUAAUACACCUAAUUAAUGCACUAGCAAACGAUUAUUGAUCAAUUAUUAUAUUCGCAUUAUCACAUCUGACCCUUGUUUGAAAAAUCGCUAGACGCUAGUCGGGUGUUCGGUAUGGGCCUAGCGAUUAAUCGGAAAAUCAGAUUAAAAUCGGGGAUUAAUCGGGGAUUAGUUUUAGGGUUAUUUUAAUAUUUUUAAAAUAUAUUAAUCUAAUAUUGUAAAAAUUUAUGAUUUUUAUUACAAAUUUAUUAUUUUUAUUAAAAUUUGAACACAAGUUAUUGUAAAACAUCACAAACUCCCCAUUCAAAUGAUUGAAUAACAAAAAUAAAAGGUUUUUUUAUACUUGCAAUCUAAAAAAUAAUCGGGGUAUAUAAGAUUAGGCGGGAAGUAAUCGGAUUAGGCGGAGAAUAAUCGGGUUACUGAUUUUUUAGGGGAUUAAUCAUUAAUCGAGGCGGAUAGGGUGAGCCUAACGAUUAAGCGGAGAGUAAUCGGGGCUAGGCGGGGAUUUUUAGAAUAGGGCAUCUGACGGAUCACUGGUUUCUCUUCUAUUUUAUUUUUUAUUUUCAAAAUUUAUUUUAGAUUUUAUUUUCAAUUAUUGAUCGUGCAUUUUAGAGGCAAGAAAAAAUAUAUAUAAAUGAAAUAUAAAAAAACAUGUCAAAUGGAACCUCUCACCCACGUGGCCGUAACAGAUCAAGUGUUCGUUUAAAGUUUUUUUUUUUUAAUACAAAUUAAAAAAAUUAACUUUUCUAUUUUACUAAUACACUCCAGUUAAUACAAUAAAACAGUACAAAUAAAAUUAGAAAUUUUAUCAAAUAUUUACAUUAAAAACCAAAAACUGAUAUAUAUUAUAAAACAAAUUUUAAGUUAUAAAGCUAAAUUUAAGUUAAAAUAGAUUGGAGUAUUUCAUAUAAUUAUAUAAUAAAUAUUUAAAUUAUUAAUUUUUUUUGUCGACCAGUUUAUUUAAACUUUCUUUUUGUACUAAUAGAUGAUAUAUUAGUUUACACAUAGAUACUUUCAAAGAAAUUUUAACUGUAGCAGCUACUGUAUAUGUGGCUCUAUUGAAUAUGUUAUACAGUAUUUGUAUUGAAUUCACGAGGCCUUUUCACAAAAAAAAAUAUUGAAUUCACGAGUCAUUUUUUUCCAUUAAUGAAAGAUUAGCGUUGAAUAUAUUAGAAACAAACAAAAAAAACGAAAUGACGCCUAAUUUGGGAUCAUUAAAACGACAAAAAGGUGCACCAUUUGUUUUAAAAAAAUAAUUAUAAACAAAAGUGCAGAAACUAGAUAAAACAAAUUUGCUUACGUGAGGGUAGGUAAGUUUAAUUUUAUAUGAAGAAGGUCUCGUUUGUGACUCAUCUAUUACAUAAAUAUCAUGAUUCUUGGUUUAAAUUUCAUAUGAAAUUAAACAUAUACAUAUUAGCCGGCCCCAGAGCCAGAUGUAAAACUUAGCUUCUAGAACUUUAUAAGCUCUACUUUUCCUUGCUUUUAUACCAAUCAUUUUGACUACAUGUAUAUAUUCAUUGCAAAAAAAAUGAUUCCACCAAAUUUUAUCAUUUUGUUCUAAUGGAGUACGUGUGGCCCGAAACUUGUCUGAUCUGAGCACAAAGCAGGUCAUUGCCUCAUUGGAUACGCUUUGGUUCAUAUUCUCAAGUUUGUCGCAUUACCCAUUGAGAUUUUUCUUAUGAAAAAACAGAGUUGAGGAUAACAUUAUUAUUUUAAUUCUCAACAAAUUAAGAACAACGCAUUACAGCUUCCAAGAGCUCGUGCGUGAUAUAGAGAUAGAAAAUAGUAAAUUAUGCUCAAGAACUAAACAAGGUAGAUAGAUCCACUAGGAUCGACGUCAACGUCGUCGACUAAUGAUAACUUCUCCUCCAUUGGAUCCUCCCAAAACUCACGCAUAGGCUCAUUAACAGGAUAGACAAUGAGCUCACGAACAUUCAUAGGUUGGAUAACAUUUGGGUCGGCUCCAAAGAUAAGAUGAGCGAACGCUUCUUGUGCCUUCUCUGUGUUGUGGCGUGCAUCGAAGUAAAGGUACGAUCUUUGAUAUUCGCAUAACUUCGAGUGCACGUUAGGUAAACCACAACCAUAUGCAUUAUGCGUCCCAACACCGCAACACGAUAUAUUUGUCACGGAAAAUCCUGAUUAGUCAUAGAAAAACAAGUAUUAAUUAAUGUCGGUUCAAAGUCUACGCAUAUAACGAUAUUAAUCAUCGUGUAGAUUUUCAAUUGUAACUUACGGUAGUUCAUGUUUCUUUGUGUCCUACGAAGAAUAACGUUGUAGAAAUCGAAAACGGUGAAUUGGAAAUCCGGUUUAGUUUCCGCCAUUUCGUUCAGCAUCGUUCCGAUUUUAGCGUUGUGUUGUUUGGCCAAAUCGUUGAGUUUCUCGUAACAAUCAUUGCCGGUUUUAAAUUCUUGUCUUGCGAUCGGUAAACAACCUAAUGGCGCUAGCAACUGUACGACGAAUUUACUAGCUCCAGAUGAAUACAACAACUGCAAUUAAAAUUAUAUUAACAUAUACGUCAGACUCAUUUUUUUCUUGAUUAGCUUUAGAGAUGAAAAUACUUACGUUGAUAUCACUCUUUAAUCGGUUAGUGACAGAAGUAACGAAAGCUUGUUGAGCCGAAACUUCAGCAUUAGGAUUGUUUUUGGUGAAGUUGUAGUAAUCUUCCAUACCAAUGCUAAUCAUAAACACUGAUUUCUGAAUGUAAUCCACUUUCCAAUUUGAUAUCAUCUGAUUGAAUUUCCUCACUUGUUGAUUCAGAGUCAACUACCAAAAAUUGUGAAUUUUGUAAUUAUUACAUUAAUGCUUUAUGAUACUAAAUAUUUAUAGAUAUGAUUAAACGAGCUUACAGAAUCUCUUGGUGAUCCAACAAUAGAAGCGGACCCGACGGCGAAGCUGGCUCCUCGUGACACAUCGGCACCGGGUUUUAGCGCCGGCGGUAAAUCGUGUGGAAUCCCCAUGAAUUUUGCUGUGAUUUAUUCACCCCCAUCAAUGUCAUAAGACUUUAGUUACCACUUACCAAUCAAAAAUUUCCUUUAGUAAUUAAAUAUAGUACAGAGUUUUAUAUAAUUAUAUAAAACGAAUACCUAUAAAGAAAACUAAGCUAAUUUAUUUCUUAAUGGUUAAAUGAUAUGCAUUAUAAUAUUAUAUAAAGAACGUGUUCAUCGUGUAUACGUAGUUAAAAUAUUAAAGAAAUAAGGCUAAUUCGAAUUGAGACCUUUGAAAAACAAUUACUAGUCCGUUACAUUUAUCAAAUUUUCACACAUUAUAAAAUAGUUUGCAAUAUUGAACCUUUUUCCUACAUUUGAAUUGCUUUUUUAAUUGCACUCAUUUUAAAAUUAUUUAUUGAUUUAAGUAUAUCUAACAACUAUAUUGGGACAGAAUUUUGAUAUGAUGGAUAGCUAAGCUAACAAAUAAGCAUCAAUCCACAAAUUAUAUAUGUUGUCCACUAUAUUGUUGUCUUCGGAUUAUAAAGAUCAAAUGAAAAUCUGAUUCCUUUUGAAAAAAAGUUUAAAACAAAGAUAAAUUUAUAAACUUACCAAUAAAGUCCGGGACAAUUUUGCCAUCGGAAAACUUGCCCUUAGGGUCAUCUCGAGAUUUACCGUAAGGCCAAAAGUUUUGAGGAAGUGAAGCACUAGUGAGGAACUUUUUAUUUCCGGCGUCGAAGCUGGAAUCUCCGAAUGUGAACAAACCCACCGCCGGAAUAUUCUGCCCGGAGACGGUGACAAGAUUGUGGAAGAGAGGAAAUACCAAUAAUAUUCCUAGUACACUCACUAAACUACACUCCAUUUUCAGUUAAGCAGAAUAAUGUUAAGGUACAAUAAGUUCCUCAGUCCUCUAAUAUAUUUAUAUUGUAAAAUAUUUGAAAAUAAAAGAGCUUUUAAAUGAUCUUUAUAAUCCAAAGAUGGGAUUAUUACGGAUUUUGCCCUUUUUUAUAAUAACAUUUAUGGAUUUUGCCCUUUUUGGAUAGUUUAUGGAUUUUGCCUUUUUUUAACACUUAAAAAUGUACGUAUUUAUGAUUUUUUUUUGCAAAAAUACGUACAUUAUACCAAAUACUAAACCCUAAAAACAAAUGGAACCGACUAAACCCAAACAUAAGGAAUGAAACGCAUGUUAAAUCAUAUUUUUAGAGCCUAAAAAAGGGCAAAAUCCAUAAACUAUCCAAAAAGGACAAAAUUCAUAAAUGCCAUUAUAAAAUAGGGCAAAAUCCGUAAUUAAUUCAUCCAAAGAUUAAUAAGCAAACUCAGUUUAGAAAAAAGAAACAAGUUUGGAAUGAAUAAUAAAAAUAUAAACGUUAGAAAAAUAUAAAUAUAUUGUAAAUUAAAACGUUAGAGCUUUGACAUAUUUAUAGAACUAAAAAAAUUAAUGGAACUUAAAUUUUUUUAAAAAAGUUUAAUGUCAUGUAAAAUCGAUGUUAGAAAGAGAAAAUCACAACUAUGUGAAUAUUCAAUCUCUCACGUUUUUGCUAUGUCUUAUAUCAAUUGAAAGUGAAACUAACUCCACUUCUACUGUUCUUCUAUACCUAAUUAUAGACAUUUGUCCUUUUUCCUUUUUCCAACAAAACUAGAGAAAAUAUCAUUUUGUCUGCCAACAUACUAAACAACUCUACUCAACACAAUAAAUUAAGAAACGUCAUUUAUCCUAUAUAUAUAUAUAUAUAUAUAUAAGCUCUAAAACCUUAACUAAACUCCAAAAAUUGUUAUUUACUUAUUUAUGAAAUUCACCUAUAGUUUUUCUAGAUUGUUCUUCUUCUUAAUUAUCCAUGCUUGAAACUCUAUAAAAUCAAUAAAAAUUGAUAUAAUUCAAAAUUUUUAUAUUAUAUUAGAGAUAUAAAAAACAACGAAGAAACCCAAAUCACAGGUCGAUCAAACUGCGACAGGAUAACGAAAAGUUUCAAAAAAAAAGCUGUGACAAGAUAAAGCGCAAAUUAAAGUUUGUAUUUUUUAUGAAAUACUCUCUCCGUUUCAUAAAGAAUGUCGUUUUAAGGUUUUAUUUUUGUUUCACAAAGAGUGUCGUUUUAGGUUUUAAAUACAAAAUUUAAUGAUUUUUUAUGUUUUAUGACUAUUAGUAUUCUGCAUAUUAUUUUACUAUUGGGCAGAUUAUGUUUAGGUAUAUAGUUAAUGAUGUUUUUGUUUAGAAAAAACAAAAAAAUUAAUGUUUUCUUAAUCUGUGUGCAAAACUCUAAAAUAACAUUCUUUGUAAAACAGAGAGGGAGUAUUAGUUAAAAGAUAAGUCAUGAAGAACAACCAGUUAGUUAAAAGGGAGACUGCUAUUGUGAUUCACAUUCUUUUAUUUCUCAACCACCACCAACACCAUGCAUGUGUUAUGUGUUCACAUUUUUCAAUAACCUUAAAAGCAUGUAAACAUUGAAAGCAAGCAAACAAAAGUUGUACAUUGUGACUAUAUGUAAAGUCUAUUCUUCAAAAGAUUGGAAAAGCCAUCAAAGAAUUCGAUGUUUAUUUAUUGUGUAGCGACAAUUUUUUUCCGUAGUAAAUAUAAAAUGUUAUGGACUACACCUAUAAAUAUACUGUAUAAGUUUAGUUAAAAUAGUAGAUUUGUAAAAAAUACGCAAAUUAAGAGUGUUAUAAAGAUAUGUUUCAUAUAAAUUAAGAUAAUUACGCAAAUUUCUACUAUCUCACUCAGAUAAAAAAAAGUUCUAAGUAAUAAGCUGAAAUGAAGAUAAUAAUUAAAAAAACUACAUCAGAAAUACAAAACAACCCAUUUGAAAAGCAAAAACAAAUGUUAAAAUGAUACUUCUAUGAAAUUGGAAGAAAAAAAAAUAUUUCCAUAACAUAAGUGGAAGCGAUAUUUUUAUUGCCAAUCAGUAAUUGACUAAUAUUUAGUAUUUUCAAAUGUCGCCAUUGAGGUGAGCACCAGGGCCGGCUCAAUUAUUGACGAGACCCGGUGUUAGAUCUGUCCCAAAGAAAUUAAGGGCCCUUAGAUAAAUUUUUUUUUUUUGUCUAUUAUUAUAAUUUAAAAAAAAAAAUACCAAAUUUGUAUUCAAAUAAUUGUUGUUUUUAAUUAUAGAAAUAUUAUUUUCUUAAACUUGGAUUUUUUUAUAUUGUUUUUAACAAAAUUUGGGAUUUUUAAAGUAUAAUUUUUUAUUUAGUUGGUUAUUUUAUAAAAAGGUUGGGAUUUUUUAUGAAAAAAAAAAAAAAAAAAUUGGACCCUAGGAGGCUAGGACCAUGUGCCCUAGCACUCCUAGCACAUGUGCUAAGCCGGGCCUGGUGAGCACAUGGGGCUUAACCAUAAAUGAAGUUACAUCCUCAGACCACAAGCAGUGAUACACUCUUUACCCGAGGGUGAGUAAUUUUAAAACAAAAAAUAUUGCAAAAGUUGGAAAAGUUACACAGUUCAAAUGUGGGAUAACACCCGAAUGUGAGCCACGUGGGAGCAUUUGGUUGGUAAGCUCUUCUUCUCUCUUCUUCACACUCCCUAUCUCUCUCUAUCUCUCUAUCUCUCUCUUCUCUCUCUUUUUUAUUAUAUUAAUAUAAAUUUAUUAACAUCUAUCCCUACAAAUACACCACUGCUGAUGCUCUCAGGCUCACAAAGAAGGUUAAACAUAUAUACUACAGUACCACAAUACGACAAACUCGUGAUAAAAAUAAUUAAAGCUAUAUAUUAAUAGAAAUUACUUAUAAUUAUAUUUUAUUAGCUAACAUAGUAUAAUGCAUUGUUCUUUUUUCUUUUUUCGAUGAUUAUAUAAUAAGAGUGGAAUACGUUGUCGGAAUACAAAGGUAUACGGGAUUUUAACUUUCAGAAACUAAGUUGGCGGGACUUUAAUCCUCAGAAACUAAGCCCUAAACUACAGGGAAACAAGCUGGGAAUAAAUGAUAACUAAAAACAAGAAACUCAACAAAUUAAAUCUGGAAUCUAACACAAACUCCAUACCUACCAAAUCAAAACCAUGACUGGAAAGCCUUACACAAAGCAAACCGAAGCAGCAAAGCGAGACAACGAUAAGCGGUUCCUCCUAUAAUGGAUUGAGACUAUCUCACAAAGAAAGAGUUCCUAGGUGACCACACCAGCAAGACAAGAUCCAAACCAAAAUCAUCGGUAUAGUCCGGUUCGUGUUUGGUUCGCUCUUUGUCUCUACUCCAUAUAUCAGAUCGAGAUCUGAUCUGAUCUAUGCAUUGUUUUAAUAUUAUUAUUACAUGGUUAUUAUGGUUAUCAAGAAGAUUAAAAAGUUUUUAAAAGUUAAUCGAUAUACAAACAAGAAACGAAUAAUAUAUCUGAUCAAUUUAUAAAUACUAUAAACUUUUAUAAAUACAAGAAUAAUUUAUUCAUUUGUUCACAUGGAAGUCGAUGUAAAAUGAAGUUAUUAUUAAAUAAAGUGAAAUACUUUUAUAUAUCGAUUAAAAUAAAAUAAUGCCACUACUAACGGACUAACGAAGAAAAGUCUACUUGUAAUAAAAAAAUUUAAAAAUGGGAACGUUGGUCACGUGGCUUGAUCAAUGCUUUGAUUCAUUCACCGUAAUUUCUAGCUAACCACCGUCGAAGCUUUCUCUUACCGAUCUUUCAAUGGCGAUUCUCAAAUCUCACUUCUUCUCACUCUUCCCUCUUCUUCUUCUUCUUCACUUUCCCACCGUUUCCUUCGCUCAGACGCUUUUUGUGUUCGGCGAUGGUCUUUACGACGCCGGAAACAAACAGUUCCUCUCUCAGAACCGAGUUGACGCAAGCUUUCCUCCUUAUGGAGUCACUGUAGGACAAGCCACCGGACGGUGGUCCGAUGGUUCUAUCGUUCCUGAUUAUCUUGGUAAUUAUAUUUAUCUCACUUCAAAAAUCUAGUAACUAUAUAUUCAUUUGUGUUUUUUUUAUAUAUAGCUAAUUUCAUGGGAAUUCCUCGAAUCUUUCCGAUUCUCCUAACCACGGGGGAUUUUUCUCACGGAGCUAAUUUCGCCAUCGCCGACGCCUCUGUACUCGGCUCUCCUCCAGAGACGGUCAGCUUUUUUUUUUUUUUUUUUUUUUUUCUCUUAUUAGCUAAUUUCUCUGUAGUAAUUAAAUUCAAUUGCUGGAUUCCAUUUUUUGGUUCUUAUUAUUUAGAAACAGUCUAAAAUUUGAGACUGCAAAAGUAUAAUAUUAGGUCAAAUCUGUAAGGAAUUUUAGGUUAAAAAUAGAUCUUUGAAUGACUUUUUUACAGAUGACUUUGUCACAACAAGUGAGGAAAUUCUUGGAAAACAAGAACAAAUGGACAAAUCAAACACGUUCUGAAGCUAUCUACUUGUUCUACAUCGGUUCUGAUGAUUACUUGAACUAUGCUAAGAAUAAUCCAAGUCCAUCAGAUGAUCAGAAACAAGCUUUUGUUGAUCAAGUCGUCACUACCUUAAAAGCAGAAAUAAAGGUUAAAACUCGCAGCAGCUACAAUAUCUAAGCUUUGAAUUAGCAGUUCUAAAUAUUUUUUAUUUGUUUUCGGAUAUCGAACUUCAGGUGGUUUACGGGUCAGGCGGAAGGAAGUUUGCGUUCCAGAACUUGGCACCUUUGGGUUGCUUACCGGCUGUGAAACAAGCAAGCGGAAAUGUUCAAGAAUGCGUGAAAUUGCCUUCAGAAAUGGCUGCUUUGCAUAACAAGAAACUUUUGCAGCUCUUGGUUGAACUUUCACGAGAACUCAAUGGUUUCCAGUACUCGUUUUACGACUUCUUUAGCUCGAUCCAAAACAGAGUUAUCAAGUCUAAGACUUACAGUAAGUCUUUUAUCAUCAUCUUCACCAUAUAUAACCUUUGACAAAAGUUUUGACAUCUAUCUUGUCUGAUGCAGCAUUCGAGACAGGAAUCGCUGCUUGUUGUGGAACUGGCUCUAUCAACGGGAGCGAUUGCUCUGCUAAAAAUGUAUGUGCCAAGCCUGAAGAGUAUAUCUUCUUUGACGGUAAGCAUUUGACGCAAGAAGCGAACCUUCAAGUCGGGCAUUUGAUGUGGGGAGCAGAUCCGGAAGUGAUUGGACCGAACAAUAUCAGGGAGCUUAUGGUCCUUCCUCUAGAACUUACCGUCAUCUUAGCUGAUAUACAGGAAGCUAUGGCUGCCAUGAGACCGAGACAGAGCAACAUUGAGAGUCUCUAUGAUAUCAAGAAGAUGGAAUCAGAGAUGGCGAAUCAUUGGCUUUAUCAAGUUGACAAAGCUAGCUCCUUUAUGAUAUAAGAUUGUGGUUACAAUAUGAUCUAAGGCAGAGAGUAUAAGAGCUAGUGUAACAAGGAAACUAGACAAGAAAACUGAAGGAAACAUCCUAUUUUUGUUUAGUAAUAAAACAAGGGUAACAAUCGUCCUUAUUAAGUCCAUUUAGGCCCAAUAUAACCCAUUAGGCUUGUCUCACUCAGUGUUAAAACAUAAAAUUUAAGACCAUUGUGAACAAUUAAAUGAUAACUGGACAAAUUUGUAUACAACAAUUUCACUAAUUUAUUUAAACACGUACGUAAUACAAUGACACCAUAUUUCAAAUUCAAACAGAGUACACAUAAAAUUGGCUCUUUAUUUAUUCAUACUAGUAAUAAUUAACACUUGACGAGCCACACAAACAACCAAACCUUAACACGCAUUAAGCUGAAUUGACCGCAUAGAAGUAGAGAUCAUCAGCGCGGCCGUUGGUCGGAAGCUUUCCGCCAUGCAUGAGGAGGCCAUUCUUUCCAUAGAGGGUGGCAGUGGUGUAGGCGGUCCAACCGCGUGGCAUCUCCGGUUCAUCGCAUCCUCCAAACUUCUCCCAGACUAAUGUCUCAGUGUUCAACGCGUAACCUUCGUUAGACAACGUCCCUGGACCUAAAUGUGCCUUUGGGUCUGGCCAGAUCUCACCUCCAAAUAUUAUUAUAUAUUUUCCCACUGCUGCAUGUGCAAACACGCUCCUCGCGGAAGGUUUUGCUCCUGUAGUCUCUACUUCUGUCCACUUUCCGAGAGCCGGAUCAAAGAAUUGCACAGCAUUAGACUCGUAGUCGCUUUUUCCUCCAGGCAAACUCGAAGUCGCAAACCCAUAUACCACCCAAAUCUUGCCUUGCGCCACAAGGAAUCCCGCACCUCCUCUUUUCUCAAAGUUUUCUCCAGGAUCUGGUAGCUGAACCCAUUUCCCAUCAGCAACGUUAUACGCCUCGAUCGUUCUGAACCGCUCGGGAGUUUUCAUCAACCCGCCGCCUUUGCUCACCCCACCGAAUACAUACACGUAGUUUUCAUCUGAAGCCAUCGAAUGGAAAGUACGAGCCUCGGGUCCUCCCUCAACAUCGAGCUUUGUCAGGAACUUCCACUCGUUUUUCACCGUAUCAUACGAGUAAAAGUCGCUGAACUCGCGCUUUUCAUUGCGGCCUCCAAAGACAUAGAGCUUAUUUCCCACGGCAACCAUACGGACGCCGAAAGUGCUGAUGCGGGGGACGUCUCCAUUUGCCGGAGCGAUUGACCAGGUGUGAGUGUUGAAGUAAAAAACGUAAAGGUCUUUGUCGAUGGCUUCGUUUGGUUUUAACUCGCCUCCCAAACAGUAGAGUUUGUCUCCGAUCACCGCCAUGCCGUGUGAACAUCUUGGUCCUGGUCCCUUUCCUCCUCUCUGCUCCACCUGUUAAUCAAAAGCAAGAUACGAUGAUGACGCGUCCAUGUGUGUUGUUUAAUUUUCUCGUCUGGAAACUGGCAUGACCUCGUGCCUUUUCAGAUCCGUGACCUCCAUUGUUUUUUUUUUUUUGGUUUUAACUUUGAGGGGACUAUUUAGUUGUUAACUUAUUAUACGUACGUGGCUAUGUGCAUGGAGUCAAUUUUAUAUUUUAUUUAAUUGAUUAUCACAAUGUUUUUUCUCGCGUAUAUGAACAUUAUAAUUUUAAAACAGUGGAUAUUACUUUUUUUUUUUUUUUUGGAUAAAUAAUGUGAUUAUCACAUGCACGGAUACGAACAUGAUAACGAAUUGCGAUUAUCAGUGUCCAGCCAUUGUGAAUACAACAAUCAGUGACCGCGAAGGAUAGCUAAUCAAUAUCGAAUUUAACCAAUAUAAAGUUUAUAUUACAAAAUUAUGAACUUGUGAGAAGUUGAAUUAACAAUUUAAUAAGAAUUCUUGAUUAAAUAGUUAUAUACCUUGAUCCACCCGCCUUGAAAAGUCGCAGCCAUAUCUGCCAUAUUCAAUCUUUCUGUCAAAUCCAAAUUAUGUUUUCUUUAUUUGUGUGUCUCGCUUCUUACUUCUAAUGUGUUCUAUUUAUAAGCUAAAAAAAACUACGCAAGUCGGCAAGUGUCAAGACAUUCGUAAUUUUGGGGUAUGUUUGAAACUUUUUUUUUUUUUUUUUGUCAUCUAGGUAUGUUUGAAACUGUUAUUUUGAGUUUUACAUAUUUCACAAUAUCCACAAAACAUUAUAGCAAAAAGAAAUUAUAUCUUAAGACUAUAAAUUUGUAUUAAAUGAAUAAUGAAGACUAUCCAAACAAUAAAUUUAACUUUAAAAUUACCCAUUCAUCCAAUUACAAACUUUAAAUAACAAUCUUUACACUGCAAAUUUACUCCUAUAAAAAAUUUAGUUUUACCACACGUGGUAACUCUAUUGACGGCAGAGGCAAGCCACGCCAUUCUCGUUUAAACGUCCACGUUUUGCUACGUCAUCACAACCGCAUGCAUGUAUCGGUGUUGGGUCUUUUGUCAUUUGUAUAGUCUUCGGAUCGAUCGGCAGUAUAAGGUCAAGGAAACACUUGUCUUAUCAAAGAUCCUUUGUUACUAUCAUUUCAAUACGGUCGGUUUGCGUGGGCACUCGAAAAUGCCUGGCAACGUCAAGCAACAAAGUUUUGUCACUUCCCCUGUUACUCUUUCAAACAGAGUAAUAUAACUUCAGAUUCCAUAAAAUUCCGGUAGAAUCCGAUGCCUUUUGGGUAUCUUAUGACAUCGUGAGAUAAUGUCGACAAUAAUUUAUAAGUUAUUGAGCCAGCUUUUCUUCUCAGAUUUUAUUUGCAUUAAACAUAUAUACUGUUAUUCAUUCAUUAGUUGAUCCAACAAACUAGAGAACACACACACAAGGGGAAAAAAAAAAAAAACAGAAACUGCCCAUCAAGAAACAGCGAUUUGAACAGUCUUAGGUUUCGGCGGCUGAGGCGGUAACUUCUUGACAACAACUGACAAAACCCCUUCUUGAUAUUUGGCCGUAACAGCAGCCACGUCAGCAUCUUCCGGUAAUCGGAACUUCUUAACCAGAUUCUGAGCAAGUCUCCUCUCAAGUCUAAUGUACUUAGAUCCUUCUUCACUCUCAUUAUCAUCAUCUCUCUUUCUCUUCCCAUUACUCUUUAUCACCAAAGUCCUCUCCUCCUCCACAGUAACCUAAUAAAAUCCCCAAUUCAUAAAUUAAAAACCCUAAUUUCCAUAAUCAUUUCAACAUUUCUAUAGGAUGAUAUAAAUACCUGGAUAUCGGAUUUGGAGAUUCCGGGGAUAUCGAGAUAAAAUAUGUAUUCUUUGGAAGAUUCCAAAAUGUCGAUUGGGAUAUUGUUGUUACUUCCUCCUCCUCCACGACUCUCGUUAUUACCUUCGCCGGAACGGGAAAUCGGGAGAAUUAGCUUCUCGAUCGUCUCCGGUAAUCCAAACAAGUGGUUAAUCGCAACAGCACUCAUCUUCUCCGAUCAAUAACUGCCCGAAAACAAAAAAGUUAAAAACUUAAAAUCAACGAUUCUGAAAGUUUUCCCGGAAAAAAUUCGAUAUAAGAAGAGAAUAUUUUACCUGGGAAUUACGAUAACACUUCCUAAUUGAAUCUUCUUCUUCGAUUUGAUACGUUUUGAAAUUUGUCGCUCCAUUGUUAUAUAGUGAGAAGACACCAGUGAGCUAGAAAGUUCCAGAGAAACAAUUCUAGAAGUAACUAGUGAUCUUGAGCUGUUUCAAAAGCUUCCACGUCAUUAUAUCUCUUUUUUUAUUGGGCCUUGAAAGUUAUUUACAGCCCAUUUAAGCCCAUUGGACUUAAUUUAUGUCUUUCUUUCUAUUUUAGUUUGAGUCUUGUCUACCUACCUAACCAAACUAUAGACAAGACAAUAAUAUUACUUUUUUUUGUCCAAACUGAAUAAUAAAAGAAGAAAAAAACUAUAUUAUACAAAUUUUGAAAUCCGUCAGUCAAUAUUCUUCCAAACGAAAAAAAAUGGCAAAAGCAUAAAUACCUUAUAGCGAUAUGUCAAUUUACCAUAAAACCAUACGAGUACUCACGGUUAUUGCUUUUUCGUUAUUAAAGAAAAGAGUGAAGGGUGUUUUCGUCAUUUCUCAUAUCCAUCGGGUCAAUAACGGAGAUUACCUAUCCGGUGACCUUAUCCCCUCGCCGGUGAGCGAAUCUCAGAUCCAAAAUUUUGCACUUUCUCCGAAUCUCAAAAUUCAAGCAAUCGGUCGACUUUCAUGGAGGACGACGACGAGAUUCAGUCAAUUCCAUCUCCGGGAGAUUCUUCUCUUUCACCACAAGCUCCUCCUUCUCCGCCGAUUUUACCAACAAACGACGUUACGGUGGCCGUCGUGAAGAAACCACAAACGCUAGUUUCUUCUCAAUCUCCGUCGAGGAACGCUUUAGCGUUAGUGGUUCAUACUCCUUCUGUAACCGGUGGUGGUAGCGGUAAUACCAGAAACGGACGAGGAGGAAGCGGUGGUGGUGGCGGAGGAAGAGACGAUUGUUGGAGCGAAGAAGCAACCAAGGUUCUAAUCGACGCUUGGGGAGAUCGAUUCUCUGAACCAGGUAAAGGAACUUUGAAGCAACAACAUUGGAAAGAAGUAGCUGAGAUUGUGAACAAGAGUCGUCAAUGCAAAUACCCUAAAACUGAUAUACAGUGUAAGAACAGGAUUGAUACGGUGAAGAAGAAGUAUAAGCAAGAGAAAGCUAAGAUUGCUUCUGGUGAUGGACCUAGUAAAUGGGUCUUCUUCAAGAAGCUUGAGAGUUUGAUUGGUGGUACUACGACAGUUGUUGCUUCUUCGAAAGCUUCGGAGAAGGCUCCUAUGGGAGGAGGUCUCCGUUCGAAUAUUUAUAAACGGCAAGCUAAAGGAAAUCAGAUUGUGCAAGGAGGGGAUUUGAAGAGAAGCUCUAAUUCGAUGCGUUGGCAUUUUAGGAAACGAAGUGCUUCUGAGACUGAGUCUGAGUCUGAUCCUGAACCUGAGGCUUCUCCUGACUCUGCUGAGAGUCUGCCACCGUUGCAACCGCCUCAACCGCUUUCGUUUCAUCUGCCCAAGCGGUUGAAGGUGGAUAAGAGUGGAGAUGGAGGGAGUGGAGUUGGAGAUGUGGCGAGGGCGAUACUUGGAUUUACGGAAGCUUAUGAGAAGGCGGAAACGGCUAAGCUUAAGCUAAUGGCGCAACUGGAAAAGGAGAGGAUGAAAUUCGCUAAAGAGAUGGAGUUGCAGAGAAUGCAGUUCUUGAAAACUCAAUUGGAGAUAACACAGAACAAUCAAGAAGAGGAAGAGAGGAGCAGGCAGCGAGGAGAAAGGAGGAUCGCUGACGAUGAUGAUCGCAAUGGCAAGAAU
rnacentral:lncRNA from 1 species